rnacentral:lncRNA from 1 species
CUGGAGAAAGAGAAGGUGAUCUUUGUCCCUUUGGAGACCUCCUAACUGGUGAAGAAGAUCUACGUUGCACAGGAGACAUAGAACUUGAUUGAUAAGGUGACGGAGACUUACCACGGGAAGGAGUUACUGACCUACGGCUGGAAGGGGGUGAUCUACGUCGCCGUGGGGAUGAAGAUCUGCGGUGUCGCUGUUGCACAGGAGAAGGUGAUCUACGUCGCAUGGGAGGUGGUGAUCUUCGUCGAAGAGGUGAUGGAGACCUACGGCGCACAGGCAAUGGGGAUUUACGACGUAUAGGUGAAGGAGAUCUGCGACGCACAGGGGAACGAGAUCCAUGGAGCAUAGGUGAGGGAGACCUACGACGCCGUACAAGAGAUGGUGAUCUGCGACGUCGAAUGGACAAUGGUGAUCUACGACGUGUAAUAGGUGAUGGUGAUCUAUAACGUCGGAUGGGUGAACGAGAUCUACGGUGCACAGGUGUAGGUGACCUGCGCCGAUAAGGAGAACGAGAUCUACGGCGCACAGGUGUAGGUGACCCGCGCCGAUAAGGAGAACGAGACUGAGAUCUACGCCUAGAGUAAGAUGGUCUUCGUCUUUCAGGAGACCUUCGCCUGUAAUAAGAUGGUCUUCGUCUUACAGGAGAGCGUGAAAAGGAAGGUGAAUGCCUAGAUCGAGGAGUUGAAGAUCGCCUUCUAGGAGAUGGAUGCAUCCUAUCAGAGGAAACGGAGCGUCGCCGUGAUUCAGGUGAUCUAGAUACACUCCUAAACUUCUGUUUGCCACUGCAUGUAAAUUCAGAUGGUAAAAUCUCAAAAGUUUUAUACUAGUAGAACACUCAAGAACUAUCAAAAACACAAAUUGAACAUGUAAUUCCCCUAUUUCAAAUUUAGAAAGGUUAACAAUCCAAAUGUUUUUAUGCUAUUUGUUGUAGAUUGAGAAAAACAUACUCUGAAUAGCUUCUCGAAUUAGAAAACGAUCUGCUGACUGAUUGAGAACGCGAUCUGCAUAAGAAGCCCGAUAUAUUUAAUAAGCAUUCAAAAACACAUUUAAAAGAAAAUGCUAUUAAUACAUCAUAAGUGUUCUAUAAACUAAAAAUUCCCAGUUUUGAGGAAAAUGUUUCCAUUUACUUCAAAUUUCAAAUACACAUUUUGCAUUCAAAAAUCACUUCCCAAUGAUCCCUGAACUUACCCAUUUGGUAAGAAAAGGCUACCCAUCCAAACAAUUUUAAUGCACAAUCUCAAAAUUCCACAAACGUGAAAUAGGUAACAAGCUUGGACUUCCAACUUGCAAGUGAGGGUAAGCAGCCCUAUAGUAUGAUAAAAAGCCAUAACUAAAGUUGCAUACCCCAAAAGUCAUUGGGCAUCUACAAGUAUUGAAAAGAAAAAAAAAAAUGCUUAAUUCCAGCACCUCCUAGAAAGAAGCCCCAAACCAAAAACAGCAGGAAAAUGUUCAGUAGAUAUUAGUAGUAUUUUACUUAUUGACAAGCCACCAAUGAUAACCCAUAGACAGGAAAAAAGUGCUCCAAAGAAAGCUGAUAAAAAAUAAGGUAAACUCCUUACCUAUUCCUUCCAACACCAUUCCUUUGGUCAGCAUCUCUCUCAUCCUCGGGGCGUGCAUGUGAACCCUUUGUUGGCGGCAUAUUCUUUGAGGAUGGAUCCAACUCUGUAUCACCAGCCUUGAUUUCAUCCCCAUCGUCCUACAGUAGUUUGAGGUAAAGGACAUGAACCCAAAUAAUUGCAGAAGGUAGCUGAAUGCCAUAAGAAACACAAACGAAAGUUAAAACCAAAAACCCAACUCGAUACAUUGCAACUCCAUCAUGAAAAACAUAGUAUUACCAUUUUCCUCAAUCUAUCUUGUUCAUUUUCUCUACUUUCCUUGUCUUUUUUCUUCUGAAUCUCGUUCGCAAUCCGAUCCGACUCUGCCUGCAACCGCCCAUAUGACAACAUUGUCAAACAAGAAACAAGAGUACUAACACAAUAGUAAACCACACUCCUAUAAAUAUUUACCUUUUUCUUCCUAGUUUCUUCUUCUUUGGCAUCCAAGAACUGUUGGGGAACACCACUUGCAUUCCUUUGUGCACUAAGUAGAAGAGACCAAAGCUCUUUCAUAAACUUCCCAGUAUUCUUCUCCAUGAAUCCAGUGAGGGAUAUCUGAACUUGCUUGCCAUUAACUUCCUGCAUCGAAGUCAACAACAUUACACAAUUAUCAAAAACAAGCACCAGCAAACACUUAGUAUGAAGCUAAAAGAAUAAAAUAAACAGCCCACAGACCAAAUAAAAUAUAUAGUGAGCAAACAUCUUCAAACAGUAAUUAACUAGGUAACAAACCACUUAACUAAGCGGAAACAAAGGGGAAAACACUAUAAUACCUUCCCAUCAAGAAGACCGUAAAUGAAGUUAAUAAGAACUUCAUCUUCAAAACCAAGAAGCUCAGUUACCCUAGUAGCAAUCCAAGGUCUAAUAACAUCCAUCUUAACCUUUGUCAUAUCAACCUAAAAAAAAAAACAACAAUGUUUAUUUUCCGAAAAAUUAAAUUAAAUACCAUUAAUUGCAUCAAAAUCCGCUGGGUUAAAAACAUAAACGCAUUCAAAAGCGAACCAGAUGCUCCAAUUCGGGAGCAAAUUUCUGCGAUUUCAGUAGCUUCGCCUGCUUAUUAGAGAACCGAGUAUCUUGAUCGGCCGAAGUACCCUAAGUCAAAAAUUAAUAAUAAAAUUAAUCGAAAAACGAUUCAGUCGCAAAGAUCUGAACAACAAACACGAGAAACGAAAUAAAUUAAAUUAAAUUAAAAUUUUUAAAAAUUACCCGGAAAAAUCCGCCCGACAUUUUCUAGGGUUUUGAGGAGUGAUUCUUCAGUUGAAACGGCGUGUGAAGUGAGUAUUUGUUGUAGACGGCGAGAGAUUCGAACUUGAAUUUUACGCCAUGAAAAUAAAAAAUGGUAGGGUUUGGGGAGGGAUUUAAUCGAAUCGAAAAGGGGGAAGCUCGAUGUGGAAACCAAAAAAAAAAAUCUUUGUUUGGUUUUUUACCGUUUUAGGCUUUGAGAUUUGGUUUUCGUAAUGGGAUAUAUGGUGUACCCUAAAUCGGUGAAAUUGAAAUUUGAUUUGGGUUGUGAAUUUAGGUCUGGAUUUCAGGAUAAUUACAAUUUUACCUUUAGUUUUCUGGAUUCGUGUCGGAGUUUAUUGGAUUGGGUUGGUUUGUGGUGGCUUAGAUUGGAUUUCUUGUGAAUUUGGGCUCAAAAUACAUAAUAUUAGGGUUAAAAUAUGCAAUAGGUCCCUAUACUCUUUGUAAAUUUGAAUUUUAGUCUUUUUACUUUUAUUUCUAGGAAUUUAGUCCCUCUGCUUUUCAAGUUUCAAAAAUUAGGUCUAACUGUUAAUAUUGUUAAAUUCAGGUUUAUUAUAACGUUAUUUUUUUAGUUACAUUGCUACCAAAUGAGGUUUUUUUAUCAUUUCAAAAUGUCACCCCAACAAAUUUAAUAGUGUUAAUAAUUGGACCUAAAUUUUGAAAUCUAGAAAGUGGGAGGACUAAAAUCAAACCUGUGAAUAGUGCAGGGACAUAUGACAUAUUUUAACAUUAUUCUUAUAAAGCAGCAAAUAUUAAUUUGAAGUUAUUUUUUGUAUUUUUAUACAAAUGAAAAAAUAUUUGAUACACUGUUAAUGGAGUUUUUAGACUUCACAAUUAGGAUUAAGUAUAAUAAAAUAUUUUAAAAAAAUGAGACACGUGGUAAUUUUUUAAGACCGCUUGUAGAAUAAAAAAAUACACUACUAGUAUACCAAAUAUUAACCCUUAUAUAAAAUUUUAAAAAUUGCAUACACGUAAUGAGAUUUAAACCUAAUGCAUCAAAAUCUUUACGAACUCGAUUUUACCAUUUCAACAAAAACCACACUUUUAUUUUUUUAUCAAAAUCCAACUUUAAACGGGUCUAAUUUUUUUUGUUUGAUUUCAUUUUUCAAGCUUAACAUUUUUAUUCAAAUUCUUUCAAAUUUCAAACGAAUAUUCGAGUUUAAGUGGAUGACUUGUCUCAUGAAUAGAUCUAAUCAUGUGUUAUAAUCAAGUACUCAUUUAUAUAACUUGAUAAACAAAUAAAAGUCCAAUUAUUUAUUAAAUGCUAUGUUAUAGCAAAUCCCUUCUACAUGCUUACAAGUCGUUUUCCUCCCUAAACCACCAAUUAAUCCGCCGAACACGGCGAAGGAAACUUCUAGGAGUCAAUGGUGGACCAAGUCUGUGUCAUUGUUGAAGUCUCCUAAAAGAACAAAACAAGUCAUGCUUGUGGAAAUUGAUGUCUGUUGGUUAAACUAUGUUAUCAGUGUUUGUACUUUAUGAAAAUUAUGGAUUUAGUCUAUAAUCUUUAAUUUGAUCGAUUCUAGUCAUUAUACUUUUGAAAUUUUAAAAUUUCAGUCUCCACCGAAUGAUAAUUGUUAAUGUCAUUAAGGGUGGAUUUGGAUGGGCGAUUGGGUGCGGUGCGGUGCGUUUAGCUUAUUUUUUGUCUCACGCUACAGUAUCGCUACAGUAUUUAAUCUCACCGCCACCGCUGUUUUUACACUAACUGCAGGUAACGCACCGCCCAUCCAAACUCACCCUAAGUUAUGUUAUUUCCAAAAUUUAAUUACACAUAUUACUUACUAAAAAUUAAGUUAAUGGACUGUCAUUUACGUUGAGACUGAAAUUUUAAAAUUCGAAAAGUAUAAGGACUUAGAAUGAACCAAUUGAAGAAUAUGAAUGAAAUCAACAAAUAUACACUAGUACAUAACUAGUAAUUAAAUUUAACCAAACGAAUUUAAAUAUCGUUGUUUAGGUUAAAGACUAAAAUUUUAAAAUUCGAAAAAUGCAUUAACUAAAAUUGAUCAAAUUAAAAUAUAAAGACUAAAUCCACAAAUUUCAUAAAGUACAAUGGCUAACACUAGAGUGUAACCUUUUUUUGUUAAAAUAUGUUGUCCCUCUACUCUUCACAAAUUUAAAAUUUAGUCCCUGUAUUUUUAAUUUUAGAAAUUUAGUCUCUACACUUUUUAAAUUUUAAAAUUUAGGUUCAACAAUUAAAUUUGUUGGUGGAACAUUUUGAAAUAUAAAAAAAAACCUUCACUUAGUAACCAUGUAUCUAAAAAAUAAACAUAAAAGUACAGGGACUUAUAGCAUAUUUUAACCUUUUCUUCUUGCCAUUUAUAAUACGUUGUCUUGAGUUCUUGACUAAUAACCAGACCUUAUCUUUGAAAACUUGCAGAGAUUUUUUUUACUGAUUUCUUUCAGCCCAUUGUUCUUUCAUGUUCUUCAAUCUUGUUUGGUCAUCAAUGGCGGUUAGCAUGAGUAUUCUAGUUUAUAUGGUAAUAAUUAGUUCCAUAGCCAUAGCUGAAAACCAAAACCAGUUUGUCUACAACGGCUUCCAUGGAUCCAAUCUUCAUCUCAAUGGAAUAGCCAAAAUCCAUCCAAAUGGCCUUUUGGAGUUAACAAACACUUCCUAUCAACAAAUCGGCCGUGCUUUCUUUCCGUUUCCGAUCAAAUUCAAUACGUCGUCGUUUUCAACGACCUUUGUGUUUGCCAUAGUCCCCAAGCUCCCUAAACUCGGUGGCCAUGGCAUUACCUUCACUAUCUCACCAUCAAUUGAGUUCUUCAACAGAGCUCUUGCAAAUCAAUACCUCGGCCUGUUCAAUAUUACCAGCAAUGGUCACCCGACUAACCGCGUUUUUGCGAUUGAAUUGGAUACAAUGAAGAACCCCGAGUUCGAAGAUAUCGAUGAUAACCAUGUCGGGAUCGAUAUCAACAGCUUACAGUCCUAUGUAUCAGCUCCGGCAAGCUAUUAUUCGGACAAGGAAAAGGAAAACAAGGCAUUGAGACUCUUAAGUGGAAAGCCAGUUCAGUUGUGGAUUGAUUAUGAUGAAAGGGAUAUGUUACUUAAUGUAACAAUGGCUCCUUUUGGAACUCAAAAACCAUGGUUGCCUCUUUUAUCAACAAACCUUAAUCUUUCCAUGUCGGGAUCUAUGCAUGUUGGUUUCUCCGCAUCAACUGGUUCGGUGCCAAGUGAUCAGUACAUUCUUGGGUGGAGCUUCAACAAAAGUGGGCAAUCACAAAGCUUAGAUUAUGCCAAACUUCCGCCUCCGCCACCGCCCCGGAGCCGACCUCGGGCGAAACCCGAUUUUCGGGUUGCGGUCCCAUCGGUGAUCUCGUGUCUUCUGGUUAUAACAUUCAUUGGAACUGCUUACAAGAUGUGGAUAAGGAGAUAUGAAGAAAUAAGAGAAGAUUGGGAACAUGAAUAUGGGCCUCAUAGAUUCUCUUAUAAGGAUCUGUAUAAUGCCACUAAAGGUUUCAAAGGAAGGGAACUAUUAGGAAUUGGUGGGUUUGGGGAGGUUUAUAAAGGUGUAUUGCCAUCUUCCAAUGAACAAGUUGCAAUCAAAAGGGUCUCGCAUAGUUCCAAACUAGGGAUGAAAGAGUUCAUAGCUGAAAUUGCUACUAUGGGGAGGUUGAGGCACAGAAAUUUGGUGCAACUCUUAGGGUAUUGUAGGAGAAAAGGAGAGCUUCUUUUGGUCUAUGAUUUCAUGGCCAAUGGUAGCCUUGACACUUUCUUGUUUACCAAUGAAAAAAUGAACCUUAAUUGGUCUAAAGAGUUAAAAUCCUUAAAGGAGUGGCUUCAUCACUUGUUUACCUCCAUGAAGAUUGGGAACAAGUUGUGAUUCAUAGAGAUAUAAAAGCUAGCAAUGUUCUAUUAGAUGCACAACUUAAUGGAAGAUUAGGCGAUUUCAGACUAGCUAAGUUUUACGACCACGGAUCGAAUCCUCGAACCACUCGUCUCGUUGGUACAAUUGGAUACAUUGCACCCGAGCUGGCUAGAACUGAAAAACCAACAACCGGGUCAGAUGUGUUUGCUUUUGGCAACUUAAUGUUGGAAAUUGCUUGUGGGAGGAAACCUUUCGAACCUGAAAAAUCACCAGAAGAGGUUAUCUUGUAUGAUUGGGUCCUUGAGAAUUGGAAAAUCGGCUUGAUUCUUCGAACAAGUGACCCGAGAUUGGAAGGUAACUAUGUGGUGGAAGAAAUGGAGUUGAUAUUAAACUUGGGUUUGCUUUGUGCAAACCCCACACAAGAAAUAAGGCCUAGCAUGAGAAAAGUAAUGCAAUAUUUGGAUGGUAAUGCCUCUUUGUCAAAUAUUUUUUUUGAUGCUGCCACAAAUAGUUUGAUCACAGCUCAUAACCAAGAAUUUCAAGCAUGAAGUGAUAAUAUUUCUAUCGUUUCUUUGUCUAGUUCAACCAAAUCUAGUCUCUGCUAUGGUAGGUGAAUCCAUAAUCAUUUGAGAUUAGAUGAGUGUUAAAUAUGGAUUCAUGUCUACUACAAAUAUAUUUUGUUAUGUGUUGAAUCACAAUAACUAGAUCCAAUCAUAUUCAAGACUAGUACAAGUUUCAAAGUAUGGGAAUACUAAUUUCUUUAUGUACAAUAUGUCUUCAAUUAUACGACAUAAAAUUAUAUGUAUGAAUCUUUGAACCCGAUCAUGUGUAAAUUAUUAUGUAUGUGUGAGUCCAAUUUAUUAUAAAAGAUAGAAAAGAAAAUUUUCGAUUGGUGUAGUUAAUACGAACAAAAAAAAACUCUAUAACAACGAUUUUAAUAAUAAAGUGAAAUAAAUUUUUUAUUGAAUUAUGAUAUAAUUUACUUUUAAAAUAAUCAAAAUAGUAUGAUUAAAAUUAAUUUAAUUUAAAAUUUUAAAAUCCAAAUUAAUCCAAGGAAUAUACUAUCUAACCACUUAGGUCCGGCUGACAAAACCCUCUUCACUUCGGCCAUUCUCGUAAAACCCAAUUUCUCAGUAACAGAUUUUAGUGUCGCUUGUCCCCUUAUCCCCUCCCCCAAAACCCACCGGAAAAAGAUGCAUUCUUUGGUCGCUGCAUCCCACCUUCUCCCAUCAUCCACCCGCCGGCAAUUGCCGCCGUCUCGUCCUUCGUCCUCGCGCGCUUCUUCACGCGCCACCACCAUUAAAUGCCGGUUCGCUUCUCGUAACGAUGAACCCGGGAAUCCCACUCCCUUCCUCCGCUCCCUCUCCAAACCCGUCGCGCUUGCCUCCGCUUCUGCAGCCACUCUUCUCAUCCGCAUCACCCCCAUUUUCACCCUUCUAUCAGGAGGCGGCGGAAACAACUGUGGCGGUAGCGGAGGUGGUGGUUUCUCCGGUGGUGGAGGUGGAAACAACGGUGGCGAUGGAAACUUCUGGGAAAAGCUCUUUUCUCCAUCGCCGGCUAUUGCAGACGAUAACAACCAAAACCAAGAAUGGGAUUCUCAUGGAUUACCAGCCAACAUCGUUGUUCAACUCAACAAGCUAAGUGGGUUCAAAAAAUACAAGCUUUCAGAGAUUUUAUUCUUCGAUCGACGGCGAUGGACCACCGUAGGAACCGAAGAUUCGUUCUUCGAAAUGGUUUCAUUAAGGCCAGGAGGGAUCUACACAAAAACCCAAUUACAAAAAGAGCUUGAAACUUUAGCCACUUGUGGUAUGUUCGAGAAAGUUGAUAUGGAAGGCAAAACAAACCCAGAUGGAACUUUGGGGUUAACCAUUUCUUUCGCUGAAAGCACUUGGCAAUCAGCUGAUAGGUUUAGGUGUAUAAACGUGGGGUUAAUGGCUCAAUCCAAGCCUAUUGAAAUGGACCCUGAUAUGACAGAUAAGGAGAAACUGGAGUAUUACAAAAGCCAAGAGAAGGAUUAUAAAAGGAGGAUUGAAAGAGCUAGGCCUUGUUUGUUGCCAAUGCAAGUGCAUAGGGAAGUGUUACAAAUGUUGAGGGACCAAGGGAAAGUGAGUGCUAGGUUGUUGCAGAAGAUAAGAGAUAGGGUUCAAAAAUGGUACCAUGAUGAAGGGUAUGCUUGUGCUCAAGUUGUUAACUUUGGGAACUUGAAUACUAAGGAAGUGGUGUGUGAAGUUGUGGAAGGGGAUAUUACACAGCUUGUGAUUCAGUUCCAAGAUAAGCUUGGGAAUGUUAUUGAAGGGAAUACCCAGCUCCCUGUUGUGAGGAGAGAAUUGCCUAGACAGGUAGAUGAUUGAUGCCUAGACAGCUUGUGAUUCUUGGUUUUUAUGUUCUAACUUUCUGUUUUGAAUGUUUAUGGGUAGUUUUUCAGCUAUGAGAAGCUAAUGUAGAACCACAUUGUGCAUUUUGAUAUUUGACUUUAUAGUUUUUGACCUUCAUUGCUGGUUAGCUGUGUACAGGGACUUGGGUGUGAGCGUUGAAUAGCCUAUAUGUCCAAUAUGCAUUAGUUAUGGGUACUUAAAGAAAAAUGAGGAGUCCAAGCAAUAUAGCUUGUUGGUAAUUUCUAAUCUAUGAGAAUCUAAUGGAAAACCACAUUGUGUAUUUUGACAUUUGAAUUUAUACUUCUUGGCCUUCAUUGCUAGUUAGCGGUGUUACUGGGACUUGGGUGUGAGCUUUGGAUAGCCUAUAUGUCUGAUGUACAUUAGAUAUGGGUGCUAGAUAUGGAUACUUCAAGAAAAAUAGGAGUUCAAGCAGUAUAGCUAGUCAGUGAUUUCUAAGCUAUGAGAAAGUAAUGAAAACCACAUUGUGCAUUUUGAUACUUGACUUUAUAGGUUUUGACCUUCAAUGCUAGUUAGCUGUGUUACCGGGACUUGGGUGUGAGUGUUGCGUAGCCUACAUGUCCAAUAUGCAUUAGAUAUUGGUGUUAGUAAGGAUACGUAAAGAAAAAUGAGGAGUCUGAGCAAUAUAGCUAGUCGGUAAUUUCGAAGCUAUGAGAAACUAAUGAACCACAUUGUGCAUUUUGAUAUUUGAAUCUAUAGUUUUCAGUCUUUAGUGCUAGUUAACUGUGUUACCGGGACUUGGGUGUGAGCAUUGGAUAGCCUAUAUGUCUAAUAUGCAUCAGAUAUGGGUACUUAAAGAAAAAUGAGGAGUUUGCGCAAUAUAGCUAGUCGGUAAUCUCUAAGCUAUGAAAAACUAAUGAAGAACCACAUUGUGCAUUUUGGUAUUUGAAUUUAUAGUUUUUGACCUUCAUUGCUAUUUAGUCAUGUUACCGGGACUUGGGUGUGACGUUGGAUACCCCGUAUGUCUAAUAUGCAUUAGAUGUUUGUACUUCAAGAAAAAUGAGGAGUCCAAAUAUAAUAGCAAGUUGGUAAUUUCUAAGCUAUGGGAAACUAAUGAAUAACCACAUUUUGCACUCUGCUAUUUGAAUGACAUUCAAUGCUAGUUAGCUGCGUUACACAUAUGUACAUAGGUGUGAGUACUGGAUACGAGUAUACUCCGUUUAAGUUUUUCCAUGUAUUAGGAGGGUCCAUUGAGGGUCAUAUCCCUGAUGCAUCAUUCAUGGAUUUUAGGCGUAGGCACUUCAAGAAAAAUGAGGAAUCCGAGCAAUAUAGCUAGUUAUGGUAGGAUUUGAUCUUUGGUUCAAUCAUAAAAUUCAUGAAGCAAAUAUUUGAUUGUUUUCUUCAUUCAGAAAUUGCUAUAAUGAUUAGAUAAGUUAAAUUGAUAGUUACCAGAACAUGAAAUAGCAUACAAGUGUAUAGGAAAGAAAAACUAUUACGAAUAUCGAGCACUGACUUCACUGCUUUUGGAUAAGAUCUUGUGAAGCAUUGCUAAUAAGAUAUACCUCUUCAAUUAAACAGGUAAUGAGUGAUCUUUUGUUGAUUGAAAUGUUUGAUUGUAUACUCCUAUGAAUGAUUGAUAGAUAGUUUAUACCUUUAGUUACGAUGUUGCAAUCGAUCCCUAUUUAUUCAUUUCACAAAUGUUGUGUUUUGGUUGCUGAUUGAAGUAACUAGUUUCAGUCUUUAUGGUGAUUAAUUGUUGAUUUAUGUAUGUGCUUUUGAUUUACAGCUUCGACAAGGCAAUGUUUUUAAUAUUGAAGCUGGGAAACAAGCCCUGAGGAACAUAAACUCACUGGCUUUAUUUUCAAAUAUUGAAGUGAACCCACAACCUGAUGAGAAGAAUGAAGGGGGCAUCAUUGUUGAAAUAAAGCUCAAAGAGCUGGAUCAAAAAUCAGCCGAAGUCAGUACGGAGUGGAGUAUUGUACCCGGACGUGGGGGCCAUCCCACGUUGGUAUGUAAAUAUAGUUUUAUAUUUUUACUCAGCAAUUCUGCAUGUAGGUAAUAAGAUAUUUUGAUUGAACUUAUAGUUUCUUAUAUUGUGUGCGUACCGUGCUGUGUUUUCUUUCUAGGCUUCACUUCAACCUGGUGGAACUGUAUCUUUUGAGCACCGAAAUCUCAAAGGGCUUAACAGGUCCAUUCUCGGUUCAUUGACCACCAGUAACUUUUUUAAUCCUCAGGUAUCUUUUUCCCCAAAUAAUCAUGUCAGUGUAUCUCCCUCUCUCGUGGUUCUUGCAAUGACUAUUUUCAUCAGUGUUUAGUGUAAAAUUUCAUCUUACAAUGUUCCCAUUAUUCUUUUCUUCAGGAUGAUCUUGCUUUCAAGCUAGAAUAUGUGCAUCCAUAUUUGGAUGGUGUUUAUAAUCCACGCAACCGAACUCUUCGUGCAAACUGCUUCAACAGCCGGAAACUGAGCCCAGUUUUCACCGGUGGGCCAGGAGUUGAUGAAGUCCCACCAAUAUGGGUUGAUCGAGCUGGUGUUAAAUUUAACAUUACAGAGGUAAUCUGCUAUGUUUAAAGAAGUUUUUGAAGCGAUUUUUGGAUUAUCUGUGUCUCCGGAAUCAUUUAUAAUUGAUAUGAUUAUGCCAGAAUUUCACUCGUCAAAGCAAAUUCACUUACGGACUUGUGAUGGAAGAGAUAACAACUCGUGAUGAAAGCAGUCAUAUAUCUCCAAACGGUCAAAGAGUGCUUCCAAGUGGAGGCAUCAGCGCUGAUGGACCCCCGACCACACUCAGUGGUACCGGUGUUGAUCGAAUGGCAUUUCUACAAGCAAAUAUCACACGCGAUAAUACCAAGUUUGUAAAUGGAGCCAUUGUUGGCGAGAGAAAUGUGUUCCAGGUUAGCCUGCCUGUAUAUUUAUGUUGUGAAUCUUUUGAUUGUAUUAGGGUAGUCUGUCUUUUCUAACACUGAUUAAUAUCGGGAAUGAGGUGAAAGCAUACUUGUAAAUGGGCCUUAAUAUGUCGGAUUCAUUCUAACGAGCAAUAAAAUAUAUUCAAAAAGGGACAUGGGGGUCUAAUCCUCAAAAUAUAUGAAUAUAGGAAAAGAAUCGAGCAUGCAUGUAUCAAGUACAUACCCUUAUCCAGCACUCAUCCCUGAGUCCGAGUAACAUCAGUAGUUUAUGCAUAAAUAUACAUUUUAGUCUGCCUAAAAUUUGUUUCAUAGCUAAUUGCGGACAUAUAUUUAUUCAAUGUAGGUGGACCAAGGACUUGGCAUAGGCACCAAGUUCCCGUUCUUUAACCGCCACCAACUAACAAUUACACGAUUCCUCCAACUAAAGCAAGUGGAAGAAGGUGCCGGUAAAUCCCCACCACCAGUUCUAGUCCUUCAUGGACAUUAUGGAGGUUGCGUGGGCGACCUUCCAAGUUACGAUGCUUUUACACUUGGGGGCCCCUAUUCGGUGAGAGGUUAUAACAUGGGUGAGUUAGGUGCUGCUCGAAACAUUCUUGAGGUAAGAAGGAUUGGAGAUACCUACUUUUCCUAAUCUUUUGUUUGUUUUUCAAUGUCAUUACUUAUGUUUCGCACAGAAACAGAAGCUAAUGAUAAAAAAGCCUUUGGAACCAAGAUCAGAAUAAGUGUUACAUUAUUUGAAAUUACUACAAUUUAUCUGAAAACCAUUUUCUAAUGUUACCUGCAGCUCGGAGCUGAGAUCCGGAUACCCGUGAGGAAUACACACGUGUAUGCAUUUGCAGAGCAUGGUAACGAUCUUGGAAGUUCAAAGGAUGUAAAGGGGAAUCCAACAGAAGUCUACAGGCGAAUGGGACAUGGUUCGUCAUACGGUGUUGGCGUCAAGCUAGGACUAGUAAGAGCUGAGUAUGCUGUUGACCAUAACAACGGAACUGGUGCAGUCUUCUUCCGAUUUGGAGAAAGAUAUUAAAAUGUGAUUUCGGGUCUAAUUCUGCUAAGGUGGGCCGUUACAGGUUCCGGUUAUGGUUGAACUGUUAUUUAUCUUAGAAAAUCUUGUUGAGAAGUAUGGAACUAGGCAUGUUCUUGUGUCAAAUAAAUUUUGUUUCGAUUUUGUGCUAUAUAAUUUUAUCUUGUUCUGUAAAACCAAGGAUUUAUAAGGAAAUUGUUGGUGCUUGAUUACAUACUCUUUCAUGUUCUCAAAGAAUAAAAACAGAACCGAAUUCAUUUUCGGGUUUUUCUAACUCAAAAUAACACCCCUAUUUCCUCCUACUUGAAAAUUUUUGAGUACUUCAGUCAUUGUUUUGUAGCUUUUUAAAAUUAAGUGAUUAAAAUGUAAAUUUAUUAAUAGUUUAGUAAUUUUGAGUGUGAUUGUUUUGUAGCUUUUAAAAUGAAGUGAUUAAAAUGUAAACUUAUUAAUAGUGUAAAUUUUUUAAAGGUAUCUAAGUCUCUUGGAAUGGUGGCAAGUCGGAAAAUUUUCAGAUAUUUAAAUUCAUAAAAUUUGAAUUCUAAUUUGCUAAAAUUUUAACUAGUGGGUUCGGAUAUUUGAAUUUGAACCUGCAACUAUUAAUCGAAUAAGCAAUGUCAAUUCAGAUCAUGGAUGUAGAGACGAAAAUGAACUUAAUUAUCAAGUUCAUACACCAAAAUAGAUAAUAAUAAAAAUAGAUACCAAAAUGGACUCAAUUACCAAGUUUAAGGACUCAAAGUUAUAUUAACCCUUAAUAGUUUAUAUAUGACAUUACCCAAUCAUCGGAGCCAAGCAUUUCUUCGAUUUUGCCCAUCAUGCACCGUUCAUUUCAAUCAUCCACUGAUGCCUACGCCAAUCUUAUAGAAACCUACGCUCAUGAUCGAGCAUUGAAACCAGGAAAACUACUUCAUGCGCACCUGAUCGUCAAAGGGUUGGCUCAUUUGACAUACUUGGCUACCAAGUUGAUAGCUUUUUACACAGAGUGUGGCCAACUAUCAAAUGCUCGUAAACUGUUCGAUAAAAUUCCCAAAAGAGAUAUCCAUCGUUGGAUUUCAAUCAUAAGGGCAUAUACUCGACGCGGGUAUUAUCAGGAGGCGAUUGGUGUUUUCACCGAAAUGCAAACAGAAGGUUUGGGAAUCAACAAAUACCUUAUCCCCAGUGUUUUGAAAGCUUGUGGACAUGUUUUGGAUCAAGAAACGGGGAAGAAAAUACAUUGCUUGUGCGUCAAGAAAUCUUUCGAAAGUGAUGCUUUUAUUACAAGUUCCCUUAUCGAUAUGUAUUCGAAAUGCGGACAAGUUGAGAAGGCAAAAAAAGUGUUCGAUGGGAUGUUUGUGAAAGAUUUGGUAGCUUUGAAUGCUGUUGUUUCGGGGUAUGCUCGAAUGGGGAUUGUAGAAGAAGGGUUAAGUUUAGUGGAGGAAAUGAAAUUGAUAGGAGUUAAGCCCGAUGUGGUUACUUGGAACACUUUGAUUGCCGGGUUUUCAAAGAAAGGUGAUCAUUUGUCAGUGUCUAAAGUUUUUGAAUCGAUGUUGGAUAAUGGGAUCGAGCCUGAUGUUGUAUCAUGGACUUCUGUUAUAUCGGGGCUUGUUCAGAAUUUUCAAUAUGAUGAAGCUUUUGAUACUUUUAAGAAGAUGAUGAAACAAGGGUUAUAUCCGAGCUCGGCUACAAUUAGUAGUCUUUUUCCUGCUUGUAUGAAUACAGUUAAUUUGAAACAUGGGAAAGAGGUUCAUGGAUAUGCAACAGUGAUUGGAGUUGUAGAUGAUGUUUACGUGAAGAGUGCUCUUGUUGAUAUGUAUGCCAAGGGUGGCUUUAUAUCCGAAGCUCAAACUUUGUUUUACAAAAUGUCUGAAACGAGCAUUGUUACAUGGAAUUCGAUGAUUUUUGGGUACGCAAAUCACGGAUAUUGCGAGGAAGCAAUACAGCUUUUCGAACAAAUGGAGAAGGAAGGAAAGAAGCCAGACUACAUGACUUUCAUUGCUGUCCUUAGUGCAUGUAGCCAUGCCGGAUUAAUUGAGCUCGGAAAGAGUUUAUUCAACUCGAUACAAGAGAAGUAUGAGAUUUCCCUAAGGGUAGAACAUUAUGCUUGCCUAGUAGAUCUUUUAGGUCGAGCCGGGAAACUCGAUGAGGCUUAUGAUGUUAUUAAAACAAUGCCUAUGGAACCGGAUUUAUUUGUAUGGGGUGCAUUAUUAGGAGCAUGUAGGAACCAUGAGAAUAUCGGUCUUGCUGAACUAGCAGCUAAGCAUCUACGGGAGCUUGAGCCUGGUAGCAAAGGAAACAAUCUGUUGUUGGCGAAUUUAUAUGCUGAUAUUGGUAGUUGGGGAAAUGUUGAAAAGAUAAAGACGAUGAUGAAGAAAAAGAGGUUGAGAAAGUUUCUAGGAUGUAGUUGGAUAGAAGGCUCGUAAUUUCUUUGGCUUGGGUUAUUCGGUUGCUCUACUGGUUGUGUAGCUGCCAUAACUAUCUGCCUGCAUGAACGGAGGUCUGAAACCAAAGGGCUUGUCGGGUCUGUUGAAAGCUACAAGCAAAGCCAAAAAGGUAACAUUUCUACCAGUUUCUUCGAGUAUUUCGUUUCUAUUAGAAGGUAACUUAAGCUUGAUUCGAAAUUUGAAGUUCAAAGCUCGAGCUCAAUUCAACAUAAAGAUUGAAUUGCUCGAGCCUACUUGCCAUAGCUAGUUUACUUGGUAAAAAGCUCAAUUUUUGUGCUUAAACUCGAACUUAACUUCUGAUUAUAAAAGAUUUUCAAUGUUAACUAAAACUGAAAAAAGCUCAAGCUUGUGAUCUACAUGAGUUAAACAUUAAGAUACUCGAUUUUGCUCGAAUUGUAGUUUAAGCAGCUUGACUCAAAAAUAUUGAGUCGAACUCGAAUUCUUCUUAAACGAACCCGAAAUUUUACUCACAUUAAUGUUCUUUCUGGUACAAUUUAUUAGGUUUUCCAAAUUCAAACCAUCAAUGCAAGUGUUAAAUAUUUUGAGGGUUCAGUUUAGAAUAUUUUAAAGCUUAGGGAUCAAUUUAAAAUUUAUGUCAUAGUUUGGGACGUUUGAUGAAAUUAACCCUAUAGUAUUUGUUAUUUUAUUUUAUUUUCCCUAUGCCGGGUCUCCUCGAUUAAUAAAUACUCACAAUGGGCGAAGAUGCAAAAUCCAACGGCUCAAAUUAAUUCACCCACGUCGACAAGUAACAUGGCAGCGGUUAGAUUUAAAAGCAGGUCCACGUGGCACUAUCUAGAGCUUUCUCUCUUCAACCUUAAAACUGAAAUUAGAAAAAAGAUAAAAAAUAAAUCGCUAUGAACAGUACAAUUUCUGACAAAAAUAAAAAGAGAGCGUAAAUCGAAGGGAAGAGAAAAUUUUAUUGCAUUCUCUUCUUUUCCCCUUUUUUUUGUAAUUUUCUCUGAAAAUUGCUCAUUUUAUUCAAUUAAAUGGACGGCCGUUUGAUCGAGUGAUCUUCGUGUGUCGUGUAAGUAAAACUUUUCGGCUUUUUUUUUUUUUUGGUAUUGAAUUCUGUUUGUUUGCUGAGAAAAAAAACGGAGGAAAAAUUGAUAUUCUUGUUUUGCUUUUCCAUUGCGAUUUCUCCUCAAUUUUUAGCCUCAUGAGAUUUUGAUUCAUACAGGGCAAUUUAAGUUACUGUGCUAAUAUGUGUAAAUGUCUUAUUUUAAAUCCAUUCGUUUUGCUUGAUUUCGCGGUUGCUUCUAUCUUUGUAUUUGAUCGUAUUAACAACAUGAGGUUUUUAAAUCGUAAAGCUUGAAUCUCUGCUUAUGAGAAUGUGUAAACUAUGGCUUAAUUAGCAUAAAACAAUGGAGCUUUAGAGCCGAUGUUAAAUUAGUAAAAUAAUGAUAAUUGAUAAUGUAAAUGACAUUGCAGUUAUCGAACAAUUUGAUUCAUUGUUUUAUUUUUUAAAGUAAUUUUUUUAGGAACUGAGAAAUAGAUAAAUAUGGUGGUUCUAAGCUACAAACAAACUUUCUAUUGGAUUUAGGAACUGAGAAAUAGAUAAAUAUGGUGGUUCUAAGCUAUAAACAAACUUUCUAUUGGAUUUGUUAAGCUUUAAUGGCAUUUGAAAGCCAAUUGAAUCAUUAAAUUGGUUGGUUAGGUCUAGAUCGUUUUCAUUUGUAAUGGGAUUACUAUGAUUCUGUUUCCACUGAAAUUUAUAUAUAUAUAUAUUCCAACUGUUAUGGUACUUUAUCUUUGGAGCUUGGAGAAGUUUUUAACAGUAUUUUAGUCAUAAUUUUCGUUAACAAGAUUGAAAUCUUUGGACUUGUGAUGGCCGUUUCAGAGCUUACUGUGUUUUGAUAAACGAGUAUAUUUAGUUAUCAUAUGUAGAAAGUGUUUUUAGCUAUUAAUCCUUAAAUUUUGAGUCGAUUUCAAUUUAGUAAAGCAUUUAUUUCGUUUGUCCCUGCUUUAUUUGAUGACUUAUAUGUUUGAAACGUCAUAGGAUUUGAAGGUUGCAAGAGAAGAGGCUAUUUGUCUAGCAUCUCCCACCUUUUAGACAAGUGAAGUUUCAGAGUCUUUGUGACAAUGAGCUUUGUUUUCCGAGGUAGUAGAGGAGAUAUUGAGAGCGGGUUUUCAGGAUUUAUUCAUGAACGUCCUGCUGUGGUAUGUUAGCUUUGUCCAUACCUGUAUACUUGUUUGGUUGCACAAUCAUCAAAUACUGUAUAAUGGGACUCUAUCUGUCAUUGUGCUAUUCCUUUUCCAGCGUAUACAUGCAUCUCGGCCUGUUAAUUCCAAUUCACUGGCCUUCUUUGUUACAGGUAAUGUUAUGUUCUCCAUUGCAUCUGUUUGUUUCUUUUUCUUUUUUUGUCGCUGAAUCAUUCCUUAUUGUCUUUCUAACUUGUAUUUCUAAACUGUUGUUACCCGAUUGUUUUCUGGCAGUUCUUUUGUUAUUCAUGAUUUUAAACUCUCACCAAAUGUCUCCAAAUUUUCUGGUACGUACACAAUACACAUUCACUGAAUCACUAGGAGCAUGCUAGCUGUUAACACAUCAUGAAUGUAUUCUCUCUGUCUGUGCGUGCAGCUUUGGCUAGUAGUAGGCAUCUUUUUAAUGGCUACUAGCCUUAGGAUGUAUGCAACUUGUCAGCAACUUCAAGCUCAGGCUCGAGCUCACGCUGCUGCAGCUAGUGGUUUGCUUGGUCAUACCGAGUUGCGUUUGCACAUGCCACCAUCAAUAGCUUUUGCUACAAGAGGACGCUUACAAGGACUAAGACUCCAACUUGCCCUUCUCGAUCGUGAAUUUGAUGACCUAGGUAUGCUGUUUUCUUUUUCAAAAUUCACCGAUGUGAUUCUGUGGUUUAGUUUUUAACAUGCACUGAAUGAUAUGCAAAAGGGUUUUGGUUGUUACUAGUUUGGUUCUUUGAAGAUUAAUACUUCCUUUCUUCUACAGAUUAUGACACCCUGAGAGUGUUGGAUGAUAAUACUUCCACAAGUCAUUCAAUGAGCGAGGAAGAUAUAAAUGCUUUACCUGUGCACAAGUACAAGGUCCAUGGCCCGGAGAGGUACUCAAGAUUUUACUACCUAUAGCUUGCUUUGGUUGUGAACUAGCAUCUGCGGCUUGCUUUAUUUUUCGUGUGAUCAAAUUCAUAUUUCAAUCAACUGAUCUUCCUCGUUAUUUUUACAGUGCAGGAUCAUCAUUGCAACAGGCAUCUUCUUCAUCAGUCACAAUUGAGGUAUCAAUAAUUAGUUCUAUUUUUUAUAUAAAUCCCUUCUGCAGUUGCUCAUUCUAUUUUUCAGUUGCUUUUUCAUGAAGUUUUAUAUGUUUCAAAGAAGAUCUCGGUAACAUAACAAGUUAUCAGGAACAUCUCCUAUACAAAAUUGACAUAAUCGGAGAGAAAUUAAAGUGUUGAAGAUUCUUUCCGAACCAUUUCAUAUGUGCUGUUUCAUGGAUCGUUUUUAUAGUCUAAAGUCCCAAAUAUGUGUUGCAGCAAAAGCAAGAUUCCCGGAAAGGUGAUGGGAACAUGAAGGCUUCAGAUGAUGAACUAACUUGCUCUAUUUGCUUGGAUCAAGUCAAUGAGGGGGAGCUUGUUCGGAGCUUGCCAUGUUUGCAUCAGGUUCUAUUUUUACGGUCUACUCAUGUUUUCUUUUGUCAUCUAAUGAUUUUAUGGUGUACUGUUUCUCCCAAUAUCUUCGGUCAUCGUCUCUUAUGUGAAAAGAAAAUGAAUUACAGCAACCAAUAUGCCUCGUCAAGAGUGCAAUAUCGAGUUUUUUAGAGAAUAGAGCCUAUGAACUACCAAAGUAUUACAAAAUCAGUGCAAUAUUUCAUGUUAUCAAAUGGUAAAAGUACUAUGGAGGCCCUUCGGAUUGCAUUUUGCCUGCUGUACUACAAUAAUGGGUAAAUUAGUGUCUGUACAUUAGAUCAAAGAACAAAUUGGUCUUUCUGUUAAAAAUUUCUAUCUAUUUCUACUAUUAAAAACUGAUUCAUGUGCAUUAGCAUGAUGUACAUGUCGUAUGCCACAUAUCAUUGUCUUGUUAUUUCAUCAGCCACACUAGGUUUUAAUAGUAAAAAUGGAUGAAAUUUUUAACAAAAAUGACCAAUUUGCUCUUUGAGUUACUGUACAAUGAUUAAUUUGUUCAUUUUUUUUAGUAAAGGAGAGAAAAUGCAAUCUGACUUCUAGUACAGCGGCUUCCAUGAUACUUUUACCAUUAUCAAAUGUUUCAAUAUCACAUGCUUCCUUCGUAUCUCAAAUGGAUGACCUACUGUCAUGAUUAGAAGUCUGUCCUUGACAUAUAAUUUUGCAUAUCAUUUUGAAUUCUUGAUGAUUCAUUAGUCUCCUCUUGCUUCUUUAGUUCUUUUAUGCUUAGUCCUCGGUUAUGAUGCUUGAAGAUAAAUCCCAAGUCCAAAUCCUUCCUAGCUGUAAAUGGAGGUUAUCUCCACGCCCUUUUGAUUUUAUGAAACUUGAUGCAUCAAUUAACAUUUCCUUCUUACAGUUCCAUACCACCUGUAUUGAUCCAUGGCUGCGGCAGCAAGGCACAUGUCCAGUAUGUAAGUUUAGAAUGGGGUCGGGAUGGCAGGAAAACAGGGAGAGUGAAUCAGAUGAUUCGGACAUGGUUUAACUCAACUCCCCUGGUAAUACAAUCCGAAGUAUAUAUUUACAUUAAACAUUAAUUUUUCCGGAGAUCCAUCUUCAGAUCUCCUUUAGGAUUGGAAUCUUAUCUAUCUUCGGCUCCAUGGAAGAAACUGAGGUUAGAGUUUCAUCAUGCUUAGCCUUGUACAUUUAACUUCUCUUUGACCUAUGCUGUUUCUAGCCCCAUCAGUGUUAGGGAUUAUCGGGGUCGGCAAUCCCGACAUCCGAGCAUGUAGUUGACUGGAAUUUAUGCAAUCUCAAUGAGACUUUUCAUUUAUUGCUGAUUACCAUCAAUCAUCUUAUUGCCAAGGGCUUCUUGGAAUAGCAGUUUUUAUGAUCUUGGACUAUAAUGGAACUUUUUUGCAUAUUAAUUCGCAUCUUAAAUGGAAAACCAAUCCGGAUUUGGGAACUAGUGUCGAAUACGUUAAUUUUUAAAAGGAGUUUGUUUCAUAAAUUUAGAAGAUAGUAUUUUACUCUUAGUCCUUGAAUUUUGAAAAUUUAGUUUUACUAACUCAAAUGAUUUCCAAUGAGUGAAAGUUGUGGAUUUUGAUUAUGUUGAUAUUUUCAUCUUCAUAUUUUUGAAUUUUGAAUUUUGAAUUUUGAAAUUUUAAUGGGAACUUUCGACUCUUGUUAAAUUCAUUGAAUAGAAUGAGAUGGUCUUUUAAGAGUAUUAUCUGUGAGUAUUACAUGAAAAUAGAAUGUUGAGAUGACACAUUCGUAGAUAUGAUAUAUGAUUAUAUGUUUAUUAAUGAGAUUUAAAAAUAAUAAUCUUUAAUUUAAUGAAUUUAACAAAAAAGUUAAAAAUGGUUAAAUUAGAUUUUAUGCUUUACGCACAAUUUACACGAGCUAUGUAGAUAGGUUUAAUCACAUUUUAUCGCUAGCAGUGAUUAAGGUUUUUUAAUAUUUUAUUUUAUAUUAAUAAUUGUUCAGAAUAUUAAUUUUUCUAGUGAUGAUGUGACACAAUAUCAAAAUAUUAUUUCAUCGUAUCUUUUAUGGAGUACCAAAAUGAAAAAAUUGUCAAAUGCUUGACAAAAGAAUAUUACUAAAUUUAAAAAGCAAAAUCCUGAACAUAAAUAUGACAUUGCGAUUUUUCUAUUAUAUCGUAUCGUGUUUAAACACACGUCAAUGCUAAAAGGCUUAGUGCUUCACAGUUCCCGGUGUGAGUUUCACUGUUAUUAUCAACACUGUAAAAUAUAUACGCACAUUUACUAGGAAAAGGAACAUAAGCAUGAAGAAAUCGCCAUUAUUAUUUUACUAUACCCAUACUCUGAAGCAAGUAAAGUAGAGUUCUACAACUACAAAUAGUAUAACAGAAGAAUCGCAGUUGGUGCAACCACAAAUAUAUAGGUAAAACUAUACUAUUAGCCCCUGUAUAUUAUGUAAUCUAAUCUCUGUAUUACAAUUUUGUCAUUUUUAAUCUCUGUAUUUCUCAAAUUUUAAAAUUUUAGUCGUCAUUUAGACGGUUAAAUUUGUUAAGUCAAAUUUUACUAUUUUUUAAAAUCUUAUACAGCAAAUAUAUUACUACAUGUAUAACGACAUACCAACUUAUUAUUUUCACAUAAUACUCAUAAAAAAAUCAUGUUAUAUGAACUAAAAAUGAUCGGAACGGAGACUAAAUAAUAGAAUUUGACCUAACGAACUUAAUUACUAUGUUUGGGUCCGGAUGAAAAAAGUACAAAGACUAAAUUAAUCAAUUCUAAAAGUAAAACGAUUAAAAUUGAUCAAAUUAAAAAUAUAGACUAAAUUUAUCGCUUAUAUAUAAUACAAGGAUUAAUAACAGAAUUUAACAAAAAUUUAUUAUCCAAAAUAAAGUUUGGUCAUUGAACUAUAUUUAUUCCAUUAAAAAAAACCAUUUUAGCCAUAGAUUUGGAGCUAAAUUUGGUUUAUACUUAAUGUGUAAGAUUGGGUUUAAUGGGUUAGUUCAUUUAUAGUAAGACCUAUGAAAGAAGUGAGUAAUCAUUUCAUUUGUUGCUUAAAAGAAAGGUGGGUCAAAAGUCGUCUUCGCCUUAGCCUCAUUUGAGUCCCAAUUCACCAACCAAAAUCCAUAUAUGCAUAUAUUUCCGAGUCAGGGUUUGAUGAAAAUGAUAUUUAAUUAUUUAAUAUAAUAAUUUACUGCUUUCUAGUUAGCCAAAAAUAGAUAUAACAUUUACUAAAAAUUGGUACUUACAAUAAAUACGAUGCAAUCUUUAUUAAAUAACGUAUAAAGUGAGCUUUUAUUAAAUGAGAUCUUGUGGGAUCCUUUUUAAAUCACUGAUUGCAGUUAAAAGAUAGAAAUAAGAAAAUUGUAACCGUCUGAUCAAGCCACGUCAAAAAUUAAAAAAUUGUACUAAUGACCUAGAACUUGUUAAAUCAAUUACUGAGAAUACAUUGUUUUUCUCUAAAAAUUAGUUUCUCUCCUUCGGUGUUGAAACGAGAUGAAUUGAUUAAAACGUAAACACAUAUUUUUUAAUGCAAAAUCUACAUUUAUUUUAAGUUUAUUGCCAAUUGAUGAGGGAGAAUACAGUAACUCUUUUUUUUUAUCUAUUUUGAUCACCAAGAGUUAACUAUAGAAUUAGAUCUUGUAAUAUAUUCAUUAAAAAUUACGAUAGACACGUUACGAUAAAAAAAUGUCCGUGAAUAUAUACACACUAAAUUAUGUCAUACUAAAAUGUAACUUUGAUUGGUAUAAUAAAUUUAAUGCUUCGAAUAGCAAAUCUCAUAGUGUUAUUAUUGUUUUUAGAUGAUUUAUUUCAACUUUAAAUUAAUUUUUAUAAAUUUUAUAUAAAAUGUAAAUUUUAAAAAUACCCAUUUAUAUAUAUAAUUGUGAUUACUAUAUAUGUUGGAUCAAUUGAGAUGCACAUUGGUUGGGAUGUUUGUUUCACUGUUUUCUUGGGUGGCAAUGUAGAAGAUAUGAAGUAUGAUGAUCUCUCUUUCACGGGCUCCAUUAAUCUUUGUAAGUAAAAAAUAAAAAUUAUUUUAUUAAUCUCAGAAGCAAACUUUGGGAUUUUGAGAUCAGAUUAGAAAAAUGGAAAUAUUGUAAUUUUCAUUUGAGUCUUGGCUGUAUAUAUAUAUAUUUAUACAAAAUCUAAUUUUACUCGUAAUUUCUUCAAACCUUUAAAUUAAAGAAAAAAUGUGUUUAAUCAUAUUCGAAUCCACUAAGACUUCAUUUGUUAUUCCAUUUUAAUAUAUUAAAAUGUACUGGUUAUAUAUAUAUACACGUAUAUAUUAUCCGAGUGAAUAUUUAAUUUGAGAUGUUAAUUGAAGAUUUAAAUAUAAUUUCUUUAUUACUUUCAAUUGACUAAUCUGUUUUUUUAGAGAGUUUACAGGUAUAAAUAUAAUGUAAUUAUAAUAUAUUUGCGAGUAGAGUAUAAUCAUAAAUAUAUAUUCGAGUAACUACAAACUAAAAUAACCCAACACAAGACAAAAAGGGAUUGAAAACCGAAAUAAUUUGAACAAAACCGACCCACUUAUGACAACAGCACAAUGAAACUAGCUGUUUUAAGGCUUUAAAAAAUGGUGAAAUAUUGUGUAGAAAGAUAAGAUAGAUCGACGGGUAUAACAGGAACUAAAAACAAACAAUGAUUAACAUACUUUAAUGAUACUCGACAGUGAAUAAAACUGGGUCCAAUGUUUGGUAAUCUUCUUGUUUUCGGUUCCAAAAAAAAUAUGUUCCCAUUCUUAUUACCUAAUCAACCAAACACACACACACACACACACACACACACACACACACACACUACAUACAUUCUUUCUUCCGUCCCCCUAUAUAUACAUACAUUUUUCUCCAUGUUUUGUCAUGAACAAACACACACACACGCAUAUAUAUAUAUACACUCCAAAAUUUAAACCCUAAUAGCUUCGGGGGGGGAAAACAUAACGAGAGCUUUGUUUUUCCAACAUGAGGUUUCCAGGUUUUUUGUCAUCGGCAGUUACGGUUAUCUUGUUUGUUGGUUGUUUCAUGGCGGUUCCUGAGGUUGUCACUGCAAAACAUGGCGGCGGGGUUACCAGACACUACAAGUUCAGCGUAUGCUUCCAUUGCUAUGUAUAUGUAUAAUGUGUGUGUAUAUAUAUAAUAUUUUUGCAUUGUUUACUAUUAUUUGUGAAGUCAAAUAUAUUAGGGUAAACUACAUUACCAGUCAUUAUUAACUCUUUUUUUGUCACUGAACUAUAAAAAGUUACAAAAUAGUCACCUAACUAUUCAAUAUUGUUUUAAUCUGGUCACCGGCCAAUUGGCUAAAACACCCGAAAAUCCAAGAUAGUUGAGUGACCAGAAAAGAAAAAAAGACCUAGCCGAGUGUCUACUAAUUUAGUUUACCCUAAUAUAUUAAUGACAUUGUUGAGGCAAUACACUUUCAACAAGCUCGGUUAUAUUUUGAUUGGUAUUUUGUUUCUCAACUUUAUCAAGAACCCUGAUAGGUUCAUAGAGUGAGGAAAGCCUUACAAUAUCUCAAUAGACAAAAAACUUGUAAUCCGAAGAGUUUACUCAUGGUUUGAUUCGACCCCAUGAACUAUGACAUAUAAAGCAUGCUUCUUUGGUUUGCUAUACACAAAUUCUUUAUUAUAAUGAACUAUGACAUAUAAAUGAACUAUUUAUUAUAAUGCCAUACACAAAUUCUUUGGUUUGCUAUGGUUUUUGCUUAUCCAAGCACUAUUGUUAGGAUUUUCGCAGAAUUGAAAGACAAUUUUGACAGAAGACAAGACAUUACAUAUAUAUUUUUGGUUGCAGAUAAGAAUGAAGAAUAUUACACGAUUGUGUCGUAGUAAGAGCAUUGUUACAGUUAACGGCAAGUUCCCAGGGCCUCGUGUUGUUGCCAGAGAAGGAGACUGUUUGGUCGUUAAAGUAGUUAAUCAUGUUCCUAACAAUAUCUCCAUUCAUUGGUAAAUAUGAAAAGCCUUUGAAUUUAAUUGUAGUUAGGGCAAGUUAAAGGGAUUGGCAAAAUCAUUUUAAACUAACUUAAUUGAGUUUGCUCGAGUCAAUUUGAUUAAGUCGAUUAUAAUAAUUAUAAUAAUAAAAGAGAUUUUGUAGGCUGUUAAAAUAUGUUAUAUCGAUAAAUUGGAUUUUCAUAACGAAUGCUAUCAGCAUAGAUGUUGAAACCAAACUAGAUUAAUUGGUCAGAUCAAGACUUGGCCAAUAUAAUGAUCUGGAAUAAGCAAGAAAAUCGGUUAACUCGCGAACCGGUAUAAACCGAUUGAGCGACAAUAGAACCGAAUUUUAUUUUUUAAAACUUUAUUAUAAAUUUUUAAUAAUUUAUUUAAUUAAAAUUGAACAAACUUUUUCAUAGGCAUGGAAUUAAGCAGCUUCGAAGCGGAUGGGCAGAUGGGCCUGCAUAUAUCACACAAUGCCCCAUUCAAACAGGCCAGUCUUACGUUUACAACUUCACAAUAACCGGACAAAGAGGAACUUUGUUCUGGCAUGCUCACUUUUCAUGGAUGAGAGCUACUGUUUAUGGCCCACUCAUCAUCCUCCCAAGGCGCAAUGAAUCUUAUCCUUUCAUUAAACCUUACAAAGAAGUCCCUAUUUUGUUUGGUAAGCUGUAUUGCAAGAAAAUCACCAUUUUAUUUUUGUGUAUACGGUGUUCGACGAUUUGACUGAAUGAGUUAUUUUUGGCUUGUUGAACUAUAGGUGAAUGGUUUAAUGCUGAUACUGAAGCUGUUAUCAAUCAGUCACUUCAAACUGGUGCUGGCCCAAAUGUUUCCGAUGCCUACACUCUCAAUGGUCUUCCAGGCCCAUUGUAUAAUUGUUCUGGCAAAGGUAUAUCAUAUUCGGAAUUAGAACCGUUUAAGGAUCGAGUUAUUAGUUUAAGCUUAGAUAUUUGUUGAUAUUUAGAGUAUUUGAACAAAAAUAUUUAAAAAAAAACGAGAAAAAUAAAAAUUUAAACACCUUUAGAAUAUGACUGAGGCACUAGCGUACUUCAAUCGGACUCAUUUUUUAAGUUUAUACUAUGUUAUCUCUUUUUUAUUUUCGUAUAUUAUACAAUUUAUAUUAUAUGAAAAUUAACUAUAUUAUACUAUAAUAUGAAUAUAACUAUAAAUAUAAAUAAAUAUUUUAAAUUUAUGUUAAGAAAUUUAAUAAAAAUAUUAAAUAAAAAUGACUUUUUCUAAAAAUAUAUUGUAGGUAGGUCUUAACUAGAAAUAUUCAUGGGUUGGAUUGGACCGAAGCUUGAGAUCAAGCCAUUCAAAUGGCUCAUUUUACUGUUUAAAAAAAAUAAUUUUCAUUUAAAUUUAAUUAUAAAAUAUUUUAUAUUAAUAUAAACUUUUUUAUAUUUAUAUUAUUUUUAAAUAAAAAAUGUGCCGGACUGAGCCAACUCGAGAUUGAAAAAUUUAAGCCCAAGCAUAAAGCAAAUGGGCAAUUUAGCCCAUGAACAUAUCUAAUCUUAAUGGGCUUGAGUUAAUUUUUAAACAGGCGAAAUUUGAACCCAUAUCUAGAGUUCAGCUAAGCUUAGGCAACUAUCUACAAUAUAAAUAUUAUACAUGGAUUCGGUCCAAAAAUACCUCUAUUCGUAAUUGUGUCCGUGUUUUUCUUUUUUGACAUAAAUUGUGUUUUGUAUCGAGUUUUUAAGUUUUUUUUUUUGUCAGAUACAUAUAAAUUGAAGGUAAAGCCCGGAAAAACAUAUCUACUGAGGUUAAUCAAUGCUGCACUCAAUGAUGAACUAUUCUUCAGCAUUGCAAACCAUAGUGUCACUGUCGUGGAAGCCGACGCAACGUACGUGAAACCGUUCGUGACCGACACAUUAGUGAUAGCACCGGGACAAACCACCAAUGUGCUCCUAAAGACCAAAUCGCCAGCCCCUGAUGCCGCUUUCUAUAUGUUGGCUAGACCCUAUUUCACCGGCAUGGGCACAAUCGACAACACAACCGUUGCCGGCAUCCUCAAAUACGAAAACCCGAAAAACCUGGAAAAUGCUCCAUUGUUUAAACCAAGCUUACCUGCCAUCAAUGCCACAAAUGUUGUAGCCAAUUUUUCGAACAUGUUCAAAAGUUUAGCCACCAACAAGUUCCCUAUCAAUGUCCCACAAAAAGUGGACAAAAGGUUCUUUUUUACUGUUGGCCUUGGAACCAACCCUUGUCCUAAAAACCAAACAUGUCAAGGACCAAAUGGUACAAAAUUUGCAGCUUCAAUGAACAAUAUCUCCUUUGCACUCCCUACAACAGCUUUGUUACAAUCCUAUUUCUUUUCUAAAAACGGGGUUUUCACCGCCGAUUUCCCGGAUUCCCCUCUUCAUCCAUUUAAUUACACCGGCACUCCGCCGAACAACACACACGUUAUUAACGGUACCACUAAAGUUGAAGUGUUACCGUUCAAUGCGAGCGUCGAAGUGAUCAUGCAGGACACUAGUAUAUUAGGUGCUGAGAGCCACCCUCUCCAUCUCCAUGGCUAUAAUUUCUAUGUUGUUGGUCAAGGUUUUGGUAACUUUGAUCCUAAAAAUGAUCCUUCAAAGUUCAACCUCGUAGAUCCGGUUGAAAGAAACACCAUUGGUGUCCCCUCCGGUGGUUGGGUCGCGAUUCGGUUUCAAGCAGACAAUCCCGGUAACGAUUCUUAUCAUAUAGUUCAUAGUUGAAUUAUGGUUUUAGUCUCUUUAGUGCUUAUACUUUAAUUAAACAUGAUUUGAAUUUUUACAAACAUUUUAAUUAAUCAAAAUAAUUUAGCUUUUUCUUAAAAACUCUCUUUAAACGCAAAAAUUCACAUUAAUAUUUUAAUCGGAAUAGUAAAUGAUGUUAACUAUUAGGAUUAAUUAAUGAUAUUUUAAGAGUAAGACUAAAUUCUGUGGAAUUAAAGCAUUGGAAUUAAAUUCUCAACUUGAACAUAGUAUAAGUAAUAAUAGGUUUAAUUUCGGUUUUAAUCCUUUUAUUAUGUUGAAAUUUAAUAUUUAAUCACUCUUCUUUAAUUUGAUAUAAUUUGAUCCGAUUUAUAAUGUUAUUAGUAAGUCUAAACUAAAAAAACAUAUUAGUUGGCUGCCAUUGAAAAGACGAUAUGAAUUUUAUUUUAUUUCAAUUCAACAUUAUGUUCAACCAAUAAUAAACUUACACGAUUUUUUUUAAGAAACAUCUCACAUAUAUAUAUAUAUAUAAUAAUACAGGUGUUUGGCUGAUGCACUGUCACUUUGAUGUUCACUUGAGCUGGGGUUUAAGAAUGGCAUGGAUAGUGUUGGACGGAAAACUUCCUAACCAGAAACUGCCGCCGCCGCCGUCGGAUCUUCCCAAGUGUUAAAACUUUUUUGUCUCUUUGAUGGGGACUUGAAAAUAUAUCAAUCUUGCCAUAUAUAUAUAUAAUAUGUACACAUAUAAUUGUUUUGUUGUUGUCUUAUAAAGCCAACAUUGGCAUUGAACAUGGUUCUUUGCUGUUUGGAGAAUCUAUCACCAACACAAAUGGUGAAGGUUUUGUAUACUUUGUAUGAGUUUCAAUGCAGUUGUUGCGGCCAUUAAUAAAUACUUUAUUCUCAAAAAAAUAUCAAUUUUUAUAAUUUUAUGUUAAUUAAUCUGAUAAAAAUGUCAUUUUUAAGAAUAGUUAAAAAAUUAAAAUUCUCUGUAAAAAGUAAAUGUAUUAAAUUCAUAAAAAUACAAAUAUGGAGAUUAAAUUCUAAAUUAUUAAUAGUAUAAGAACUUGGAGCAAAUUUUUACUCUACAAUUUGUCCCAAAAAAUAAUCAACCCAAUAAAAAAGCAUACAUCACAAACUAUAUUAAUUGAGAUUAAAAGUUCAACACUUUGUUCUUAAAUCAGUCCUUCAAGCUUUCUAAUAUCUUCACAGCAAACAUAUUUAGAACUAGGUAUAGAGUAUUUCCAAUGUUAGCCAAUGAUGUCUAUAUAUAGAUGAUAUGUACAUAUAUAAAUGUAUAUAUAUGUUGUGUAUAUAUAUAUAUGCAACAGCAUGAAAGGAAUCUCGGUCAACAAUGCACAAACACACACACACACACACAAAAAAAAAACCAUAGAAAACCUCAUGAUUCUGACUUCUGAGAUCUGCUCUGUAAUGACUCAAAACAAGAAAAAAAGAUCAGAAAAAAAAAACUUGCUUGUUUAAAGAUUCAUAAAUCUAUUUGUUCAUAUAAUCAUUUUCUUACAAACUAAGAAAAACUUGUAGCUAACUUUCUGGUUUUUAAUUACAAAAAAAGCUUGAUUUGUUCUUUUUGAUCCAAUGGAUAUGAAAUCAUCCAUUAGUUCAACACAAAACCAAAAAAAAAAAAAAAAACAACCUUCCCUACAGACCUAUAUAUAUAUAUAUCAAGAAUCUCCAUGUUUAUGCCAGCAAACAAGCAUGGCGACACAACGCCUCAUAAUAUAGAAUCUAGCCUUUUGUUUUUUAGCUAAGUUACUGCAUUUACGCGAAAUGGAAGAGCUCUUUUGCGAACAACUUCGAGGCAAUGACGAUGAAGAUGAAGAAGAACAAGGGUUCUUUUGUGAAGAGCUUCUAAGAAGGGAUUCGGCAGUGGUGGCGGCGGCGGUGGUUGUUUUGGCUGAAAAACUCCUCGGCAGUGAUGAUGAGCGCUUUGAAGAACUAUUAUUAACUGAUGACGAAGCUUCUUUCUUUGAUGUUUUACAGUACUUGUCGUCCAUGGAGAAUAUAUAUAUAUAAAUAAGCUUCAAUGGGGAGCACCAAUGGCGUCACUGUUGUUAAAAGUGUUUGAAUAAUGAUGAAGGUACGGUGGAAAUGAAUGAGAACGUGAGGAAGGAGAUAUCUGUGAUUGUGAAACGAUUUUCAGAGCAGCUGACAGUAGUGGGGCUAUAUGUUCUUACGUAUCAUAUAUAUUAUAAAGUUGACAAGGAAAUAACAACUAUUAGGCAUAUUACAGAUUUAAUAACUAUAUAUAACACUUCAUUCAUGGGACUUAGUUUUGAGGAUAGUCAAAUUUUCAAAAAUUUUAAAAAUUUUCAAAAAAAAAAAAAAGAAAUUUCCCAGAAUUUUGGGAAAAUUUUACGUAAAAUUAUGUUGAAAUUCUAAAGUUGAGCCUUUAAUCUUAAUAUUUAGGUUUAAGUUUCACUAUUUAUAGAUUUAUUUUUAUUUUAAAUUACUUUUUAUAAUUUUUUAUAAAAAUAUUUAAAAACCCAUAAUAAUAUUUAUUAUUUUUAAAUAAAAUAUAUUUUAAUAUUUUUUCUAACUCAACUAAUAUUUAAAGUGUGAAUUUGUGCUUGAAUUCAUAAAUGUUUGUUUAUUUUUUUUAACAUUUAAAAGCGUGAAUUCUAUAGUUUCCUUAGCCCUUACGUCUGAUUGUUGUAUGGGCCCGGGGGAGUUCUGCAUGUUCAUACGUACCUUGUUUUGUUAACGUGGCUCGAUACCAUUGGUCAGUUAGUUCUUCAAGACUUGCGGAUAUAAAUUAGAUUUUAUCCGACACAAAUAAUAAAAAAUGUAAAAAUAAUUUUAUAUUUUUAUGAUUAAAUAUAAAUAAUUUUUUUAUUAUUUUUAAGUUCAUUGAGAUAAACUAGGCUCAAUACAGCCAUCCUUAAUAAAUCCCCCUAAAAAUAAUAAAAAUUUAAUUUAAUUCUUUUAAAAUUAUAAAGAUAUAGAUUAUUAAAAUGAUGAAAUUACAUUUUUAUUAUCGUAAAACUUACAAUUUAAUUUCGAUCCCUUACAAAAAAUUUCCGACCAUACCCGAGUUAGUAAUUUGUAUUAAAUAUAUAUUUAUAUAAAAUCUAUUCAACCAACCGGUCCCUUUCAUAGGAUCCUUUUAUGUAAAUUUAUAUUAAUUUUAUUUUUUUUAUUUUUCAAUUAUAAUAGUUAAAAAUAAAAGCCAUAAAAUCAUAUAUAUAUUGGAAUUAGGAGCCACAUGCCCAUUCAAACAUUUGGAUCAGCAAAACAGAAGCUUGAAAUUUUAAAAUAAAUUUAUUUUUUUAAAUAAUUGUCUUCUUUUUUUCAAUAUAUAUAAAAAUUUUAAAAUAUUUCAUCAAGGUGAAUUGCUGACUCACCAUGUGAUGAAAAUUUAUUUGUUCGAUGAUGCUUCUUCUGGUAUGGCACACCUUACGAAAUAUCCAAUUUUGAGUGAAUAUUAAAUGUAGAUGUAUUUUUUAUUUAUAUCUAUACUCGAAUAUAAAUCUAAUACAUAUAUUAAAUAUUGAUAACGGUCGAUUGAGUCUUAAUUCAAUUAGUAUGAGCAUUAUUAUUAAUGCAGGAGGACAUGGAUUUAAGUGUGCUGAAGCGUAUUGUCCUCCUAUUUAUUUGUUGAGAAGAAACUAUGAAUAAUUUUAAGCAUUGUAUUAAAAAGAGAAACUAAAAGCCAAUAUGCUAACUUAGGUCAAUUUGCAAGUCCAACUUUAUUUCACUAUUUAAAAAUCAUAUGAAUGAUUUGAAUAGAAUUAACCCAUUGAUUAAUAAUUCGAAUAGAAUUGGGCCGACCCGAAUUUAAAGUGUUUUUUUAGGUUUAAUUAGAACUUGAUUUUAUUAUUUAGGGUUUUGUUUUUGGUGUGAAUUUGAUUUGGUUCGAUUGAUAUUUUUAAACUUUUUUAAACUUUUCAUGAUGAUUUGGUUUGAUUCGAUUCGGUUUUUAAUUUUAAUAUUAUUUGAUAAAAUUUUAAAACCAUUUCAUAAAUAUUUUUAAAAAUAUUUUAGUAAAAAAAUCAAUCUCUUAUAUAUUGUUUUUUAGAUAUAUAUAACUUUCAAAUUAUUUUCACCAUAUCAAAUAUAAAAAUAUUUAUUUUUACAUCUUAUUAAAAAACCGAUUCAGAUAACUAUAGUUUGUUAAUAUGUAUUUCAUAAACCGUCCAAAUAUCCUGGUUCGAAUUAGUUUUCAAUUUUUUUUAAACCCUAUUUGUUUCAUUGAUUUUAGUCUAAUGACCAAACAUAUACUUUUUUUUGCAAAUUGCAACAAUUUUCUAUUCUUUUCCCAUUAAACAAUUACUAAAAACAAGAAAGAAAAAAAAUGGGGAAUCUGAAGAAACAUUAAUCAACAUAUAAUUUUUAUUGUUAAAUGAGACAAUUUGACUGGUCAAUGCUUUUUAACAAUGCAAAUAUAUACAUACAUAUAUAUAUAUGCAUGUACUUUAAACCUUGCUUUCACAUGUUUUCAAACCAAUGUUUUGUUUUUUAAGGAUUUAUAUUGUUUUUUUGAAUUACAAGAAGAGGAUAAAACCCUAAUAAGAACGUGAUUAGCGCGACUCGAAUUCAACCCAAAUAAGAUUUAUAUAUAUUUUUUGAAGAUAAGAAAAAAAUUUGUAACAUUUAUUGCAAAAUUUAAUCGUAAAAGCAGUAAAAAUAUUUGUAUGUUUAAUAAAAUUUAAAUAAAAUGAUAAUUUUUCGAGUCUGUUUGAUUGGGUAAGACUAAAUAAUUAACCUUUCAACUACAAAUAUAAUUAAUAUAAUCUGAAUAGCUAUAAUUAUAAUUGGCCAUUACAAUAAAUAAUCGAAUUAAGCACCGGAAUAUUUUGCUUUUUUUCCUUUGUUUAGGUUAAGUUUAAUUUGUAAGUAAUUUUAUUGUAUUCAUUGAAAAUAAAAUAAAAUGUUAACCAACCCCAAUUGAUAUAUUAAUAUUUUUUAGAAUUUUUAGAAUUAAAACUAAAAUGAUAAUUUUUGUAGAAUGUUUCUUCCUUCCGGGAAGGGAGGAUUAGGAUUUAAGAAAAGCCUAUUGCUUGCAGGUUUCUCCAGACCUUCGAGAAAAGCAUAAAAAAAAGGCUCAAAUGGUACGAUCCCUCUGUUACCCCAGAAUGAAAGGGGCGAUCUCGUAGUUCUUGGUUUGUGAAGAUACGUUGUUAGGUGCUCCAUUUUUUUUCCCAUUGAGGUCAAACCUAAACCUGUGCUCGAGAGAUAGCUAUCCAUAUACUGAUAAGGGGUAUAUGGAUUAUCGAGAAGAGAGGAGUCGUGGUGGUCCCCCCCUGAACCGCCCAGAUCCCACGAGUGAAUAAAAAGUUAGAUCUACAUUGGAUCUCACCUGAAUUGCUCCAUCUAUCCUCUUGAAGAGAAAUUUGUUUUCAAACUCAGAUUAGACUUUCAAUACUGAGCUAAUGUCAAGAGUGAUUAGAAAAUUCAAUAGGAUGGGCGACUAAAUUGAAAAAAUUAACAGUUGGGUGACCAAAAUUUCUUUUCUGUUUUAACUUGGUCCUUAUUUUCUUUCCUUUUGUUUUACAAAUUAUAUAAAUUUCAAUAUUGGUCAAACAUAGUGUAAGGAUGGGUCAAAAUGAAAUCACAUGGUGUGUUGUGGUUUCACUACUUAUACAAUGUUUAUAUUUUUUAUUGAUUGAAUAUAUGUACAUAUUGUAAAAAUUAUUUAAAUUUUAAAUUACAAUGAAUAUAAGUGUAGCAUAUUUUAAUUUAUUACACUGUUUAUCGUAUUAAUUUAAUGUUUUUUUAUUAAUUCGUAUUAAAAUUUUAAUAUAAUGUUCAAAGUUAAUCUAUUUAAUUAUCAAACACUUGGGAUUUCCACAUGGAAACAUGUGACGUGCACAAGCAUGGGCACCCUUCAAAUUUUUAUUUUAUUUUAUUUUGAAAUAAAAUAAUUAAAAUACAUGAAUAUUCUAAUAUUUAUGUGAAUAUAUAAUACUUUAAAUAUUACAAAUAAAUAAAUUACUAAAAUUUAUUUUAAGUACACUUCAAAAAUAGGUCAAAGAUGCCAUAAAAUUAUGUGGGAAACCUAACUCAAUGUAAAAUAAAGAAAAAAAACUUUCACAUUUUCACAUUGUUUGCUCCAUGUUCACCUUGUUUUCUUUACAUAAAAAUAUUCAAAUAUCCUAAUUGAAUCUUAGCUCGAUCGGUUUGGGCAUUAUUAUUAAUGUAAGAGGACGUGAGUUCGAAUGCGUUGAAAUAUAUUAUUUUUCUAUUUAUGGGUUGGGGAGAGGUGCUAGAUAAUUCUAGGCAUUGUAUCAAAAAGAGUAGAUAUGACCAGAAUCUAUAAACAACAUUUAAAAAAAAUUAGAACAAAUUUUAAAAACGAGCAAUCGGUUAAUUCGAUUUAAAAAAUAAAAAAUUUAAUUUCAGUGAAAAAUAUCCAAUAACCUACCAAUCACGAUAUUAUAAGUAAAAUAAUCAAAUCGAUUUAACAUAUCGAUUCGAUCAGUUAUCUCGAUUAAUUAACUUAGUGGUAGCGGUAAUUAAAUUGGGUAGGAAAAUAUUUAUAAAUAUAUUUAAAAAUUAUAAAUAAAAAUCAUUGAAAUAUACUUUUUAGGAAUCAAUUAAAUCCGUGGACUCAGUUGUUCCAUUUUGAUUUUGGUAUUUAGACCUAACAUUUCUGCCAAAUAAUUGUUUUGAUAAUUUAGGCCCAAAAUGUUCUAAUAGUACACCAAGUUUUGGGUACAAAUUUGAUCCAUUAUCAAAAUAAGAUUAAAAGUUUAAUUUUAUUUAAAAAAUAAAAAAAAAUCUCAAUUUAUUCGUGUUGGAUAUGAAUUAUGUAUUUAAUAUAAAUGUUGGGAUCAACCUGUAUAAACAACAAAAUAGAAAAAGUAAAUAAGAUCGAAUACAAAUAUUUUACGUGGAAAUUUCUUUGAAGAGGAUAAAAACCACAUGUAAAGAAGACUUUGGUUUUUCACUAAAUGAGUAAACAAACAAGAGUACAAUAUAGAGAAACUAAACCUAAAUGUACUAGACAUACAAACUCAAACCCCGAAAAAUAAAACCCUAACUCUGAUAGAGUUCUCUAAAAAAAGGGUACAAAGUUCUCUUCACAAUUAUCACGAAAACUCUCACCAAAAAACUCAUCUGAAACUAUAUCUUGUCGCCCCUAAAAGAAAAAUCUUGUAGUACUACAUAUUUAAUUGUCUCUUAAUUGACUUCCUCAAAACAGGCCCCUUUAAAUAGGCUAAGAUUAGAGGUCUAAUCAUACUAAGAUAUCCCUAAAGUAAUUAGAGUUUAAUUGGAAAAAGAAACCCGAUUUAUGUAGGGUUUUAUAAAUGAACUUUGAACUUUGAUUUGGUUCAAUUAUAUAUAUGAAACUUUGAUUGUGGUUCAAAUGUACACAUGAAAAUUUCAUUGUGAUUCAACUAUACAAUAUAUAUAUUUUUUGAUAAAUUACAAAAGGAGAGCAAAACCCUAAUAUAGCAACGCAUCUAGCGCGACUCGAACGCAGGCCACAUCUAGGGCAAUGAAUACUCUAGCCAUCAUGACAACACAUAAGGUUCCAACUAUACAAAUUUAAAGAAAUAAAUACAUAACUUUCUUUUCUUAUUAGAUAAAUAUAAUUAUUUGUAUAUGCAACAUGUAAAUGUAAAAUGGUGCUAUAUCGAUAAUUGCUUUAGUGAUUUGUAAAAACUGAAUCAAAUUAAAAUACCAUGUAUAAAAUUGCACAAAAUCACAGUUCAUGCAUAACAUUACACAUUUGACCAAAAUUUAUAGUUUUGAUAUUUAUCUCUUGAAAAAAAAUUUUGACGAACUGAACCGAACCGAAUCGAAAUUUUGGUUUGUUUAAUAGGUUUUGGGUCUAAAUUUGGUUUGAUUUAUCCAAUUUUAAUGGUUUAAUCGGUUUAACCCUGGUUCUUGAUAUAUUAAAAAACUGAACUAACCCAACCGACCACACGUACUUAUUUACAGGAUGCAAUCAAUUUGAUAACUCAAAUAAAUCCAAAUUGAACUCACACGUGAUGAGACUUUAACCUAAAUAAAUCAAAUACAUUAAUAUAAAUAUCUAAGUACAUAUUUAUUUGAGUUGAUGUCACGAUUUAACUAGACAAAAACUCAAUUGAAUAUGUCUAAAUAUGUAAUACAAUUUUUUCAAGUGUAACAUAAUCUGUUGAAUAUAAAAAUAUCUUCAUUAAUCAUAUAUAUAUAUAUAAAACCGUGAUUGAACAAGGAAUAAUGAAAUUAUAAUAUUACCUUGUGGCAUCUCCUUGAUUAAAACGGUGGAAAAUGGAAAAAAAAAAAAAGGGAAAGAUAGCCAAUAUAAUUGCAGAUGCAGCAUCAUCAAGAUUCAAGAAAACUUUCUAGGCAUCCAAACAGGCUCUUAGGAAAAUUUUCUAUGAAUCUUGAUGAUGCCGCAUUUGCAAACACUCGACACUUUUGUGUUAUAAACUUAUUGCCUCUUUAAGCCCUCGACAGAAAUGGAAAACAAAAUUCUUAUUAAAAACAAUACCUGAGAUAUUGGAAGUCCGACCCAAUCCCAUCCUCAACAAUAAAAACAAGUACUGCUGAAGAAGAAAAGUAACCAUGAAACCUAUAAAUCAUCCAAUUUUUUUGUGGCAGAUAGUUAAUAAAAAAGGACAACAAAAAGGUCAAAUUGAAGAAAAGAUGAUCACGGGGAGAAAGAAAAAACUGAGGGAAAAGAAGAAAAAAACUACAACCUACAGCUAUUAUCUAUAGGCUUUGGCUGAUUUUGUACUAGAAAAAUUCGUAAAUUUUAAUAUUUAAUGGAAAUAAAAACAGAUUUGAUGGCUUGAAUCCGAUCCAAUUUGAUAGGGGUGAACGUUUGAUCGAGUUGAGUCAAAUUGAGUGAAAAUUUUCGAGUUAAUCGAGUUGAUGAGUCCUAUUUUAUCAUUCUAACUUUAUUUGAAAUCUUUUCGAAUCAAGUGGAAUUGUUCGAGUUAAAUUAAAAAAUUAAACAUUUUUAUGUUAGAGCUAUUAAUUUUGAAACCAUAUAUAUAUAAACUUUUUCAAAGCAAAACAAUAAUAAACAUUUUAUUAUGAUAAACUUAAAUCAUUAAUUAAUUUAUAUAGGUUCCAAAAUUAUUGUUCUAGAUCAUUUUUAAUUUUUUAAUUUUCUUUAUAUAUUUUUUAGAUUUUUUUUUAAAAUUUUAGGAUUUUUAAAAAUAUAAAAUUUAGAAUUUUUAUAAAUAUUUUAAAUUUUAAAAAUUAUUUUGAAUUUAUUUUUUUAUAAUUUUUGUUGAGAAUGAGAUCAAUUUGCUCAUUUUCAAACUAGACAGUAACCAAAAAAGUAUUUACAUCAAUUUAUUAUUUGAAUUAUUCAAAUUAUUUGAACUAUAAAACUCAAUUCGAUUCGAAUUCGAAACUCGAAUUACUUAUUCGAGUUGACUCGAAUAGUUCGAAUAACUCAAUUUGAUUAACUCAAAAAUCAAUUUUUUUUCAAUUUUUUCUAAUCGAAUCAAAUUUUGCUCAUAUCUACAAUUUGUUGUUAGGAUUGAAUUUUUAAAAAAGAAUUUGAUUUUGAAAACAUAUCUAAUUCUUCAAUUAGUCAAGUAAGAUGGAUGUCAAGUAUAGAAAAAAAUUAUCUCAAUCUAUCUUGAGAUAAUUAUCAAAAUAAUCUUUUAUAUAUAUAUAUAUAUAUAUAUAUAUAUAUAUAUAUAUAUUAGUUUAAACUAUAUGAGAAUGAAAUUUAUAUUUAUAUUUGUAGUAUAAUUAUGAAAAAUAUUUGGUACACUUUCAUUGAAUUUUUUAAACUCCACAGAUAGAAUUGAAGUAAUGAAAGUAUCCUAUAAAAUAUAGUAAAAUAUUUUAAAAAUAAAUAUAUAAAAAAUUGGGACACAAGCAAUUUCAGUGGAAUAUCAUAUAAUUAUACCUAAAAACAAUUAAUAACAUCUUUAAAAAUAAAAUUAUUAUUCCAUUUCAAUAAAAAAAUAAAAAUAAAAAAUAAAAACUUAUGAAUAUCGUAUUGGAGUUUAGUAUAAUUUUGAAUUUUCAGGUUAGAUUUGAAGCCGUUGAAUUAAUAUUUUAUUUCAAAUCAAAUCAAGUUUGAAUUAUGUUAAGGGUAUAUCAAGUCAGGGUUGAGACAGACAAAGGACCGCCACCGCCACCGCUUUGUUGCGGCUUGCCAUUUCCAAUCUUAAUAUUUUUAAUUGGUUAGAAAGCAAUGAGUCUGGUCAAUUGGACAUGUUGAAUUGGUUUUCAAUUAGACUGAUUUAGAUGGUGUUAAUUCAGAUUUCAAAUAUUUUGAUUCAUUUCGAUUUAGAUAAAUUUUGGAUUUAAGGUUACUUCUAAUUCGUCAUUUCCAAUUUGAAUUGUUUUGUGUUCUAAUCAUUUAUGUUUAAGACUAAUUUAUUCUGAGUUCAAAUAAUUUAUAUGUUUGUGAGUGUUAAAUGAACCAAGUUUAUUUUGAGAUCAAGUCAAGUUCCAAUUAUGUUAAUGAUAUAUCAGGUCAAGGCCAAGACUGGCAAAGAACCACCAUGCCAUGCUGUCACUUGCUAUUUCCAACCUGAUUCGGACCUAUUUUGAUCUGAAAACCAAUUAAAUAGAUUUAAGGAUAUAUCAAGACCAAGGUCGAGUGCCAUUUUCAAUCUUAAUCUUUUUAAUUGGUUAGAAAGCAAUGAGUAUAGUCAAUGGGAUCCCGGUUGAAUUGGUUUUCAAUUAGAUUGAUUUAGAUGUGUAUUAAUUUAAAUUUUAAAAAUUUUGAUUCAUUUCGAGUGAGAUAAAUUUUGGAUUCAGUGUUAUUUCGUGUUCAUCAAUUCAAAUUUGAAUUGUUUUCGAUUAUAAUCAUUUAAGUAUGAAACUAAAUUAUUUUGAGUUCAAAUAAUUUAUAUAUUUACAAACGUUAGAGAACCAAGUUUGAAUAUACUAAAUAAUAAGUAAAGUUCGAAUAUAAUAUUAAAAAUUUAAAUGAAUACGAACCGAACAUAAACAACUUUAAAAAUAAACAAACAAAUGCAAACAAAGCUUUGUUUGCUUGAGAACAAUUCUUUUACACUCCUAACUUUUACCUCUAAUACCAUUCAACUCCAAAAAAAAUUCAAAUAAGCUAAAUACAGUUCCACUCGAAAAAAGAGUUUGAAAUUUAAUCCAAGCUCAAUCAUUGACUAAUUCAAGUAUAUUAAGUUGGAGCUCGAACUAGUAAAAACCUAAUCAAACUUCUUAAAACAAAAAAGUACGUUCAACUUAGUUUACUUGGGGGAAGAAUUAACACAUUUUCUCUGUCUUGCAGUAUAAGUUUACCUUUUUUUCGAAGAUUUGCAAAAUGAUCCUUCAGUGAAAGAAAAUUGAUGAAGAAAUUUUAGUAUCUCCUACGCUUAUGCAGUUUCCAUUUGUUCAGUAAAUGUUGCACUCCAUCAGUUAAUGUUGCCUUCCUUCCUUCAUUGAAAUUCCAAAGUUCCGGUACUACGUAUCUGCCGCUCGGAUUGUACUCGUUCAUCUGUUUCAAUGCCAUCGUCACAGCAUUGUAUGCUUCGUCGCCGAGCUCUGUCUUGAGUUCGACCAAUUUUUCAUCUUCCUCAUCAAGUAUUUCCUGUAAAAGAAAAAUCACUAUUUUUUAGCCUAUAGAGAGAAUAAAGUUAAGUCAUAAGAGCAAGACAACUUGAUAAGUUAAAUAAUGGAUGUCCGAAAAUUUUUUAGAUCAUACUUUUAUAUUAAUAUUCGGGGCAGUAUGAGUAGGGAAUUGCCCAAACUCUGACACCUUGUCCAAACACGGCCCAAGCAAGUUAGACCUCUCAAGAAAGUAAUCCGGCCACUAAACAAGUCUAAAGACAAGCCAACGUCAUACGGCAACAAAUUCAGUAUGUUACUUAGAUACAAGUAUAAAGGUAUUAUCCUUCGAAAAUAUCAGAAUUUAUUUGAAAAAUAAGCAUAUUCGCAACUGACACCCUUUUGUUAAAUGGGGAAAUAUUCAUUUAGCCCCUCCCAUAAUAUAAAUUAUGCAAAUUAAGUCCUUUUGUUUUUGAAUAAAUGAAUUUUUUGCAUUUUUAGCCCCUCAAAAAAAUUAAUAAUGUAAUUUGAACAUUUUAACAUAAAAGUUAACCUUGGCUCCUCCAAAAUUUUAUAAUUUUAUCUCACACCCACAAAAUAAAAUUUCUAACUUUGCCCGUCUUGACACUUAUCUGAAUCCGAAUAAGAAAGAUAGGAUAAACUGAUCAUUUCCCUAUUGUUACACCUUAAGGACAAAUAAGGAUAAAGAUAGUCAAGCAACAACAGUUAUUAAAGAGGGGGAAAUUGAAUGGGUGUAAAAUAUAGAGAGAAAAAAUUACCUUGCAAUUUCCUUCCUUGUCUUUGAGGAUUUUAAAAGGAUGCCAGCUAGGAUCUCUAAGAUAGUCUUGCCACAGUGUACAUAGCUCUGCUGAUUUCACAUCAGCUUCUUUAGCUGAGUAUUUUCUUUUGGCAGCAACUAAGAAGGGUUUAAUGUCCACUUCUCCCAUUUUCUUGACACCAAUAUGAGCUCUGGUGGAAACAUCUUUAAAUGCCUGUGAAACAAAAAUCAAGUAACACAAAAAUCUCUUGCAAAAUUCAUGGACACCGUAUAUAUAUAUAUAGAAAGCACUUGUUAAGCUUCUAUCUUUCUUCAAAAUAUGCAAAGGCAAGUUGAUGCAUGUAAGUUCUUCAUCUAACUAAACUAAUUCCAUUACUAUAAAAGUGAUUUUGAAGCAAAAAAGGUAAAAUUUUAAACACUAUAGUGAGAUUGAACGUUAAAAAUUAACUUGUCCUGUUUUAAAGUGACUGAAACAAAAAAGACAAAACCAAAAUUCAGAAUGUUUUAAAGGACAAUAAAUAUUAAAUAGCUAACCCUUUUUCCAUCGCUUCAAAACACAAACUCAGAAAUUUUUUGAUGUUCAACAUUACUAUUAUUUUUGAAAUUAAGUAUUGCAUGCAAGUUAUAUUACGAGAGGCUUGAACGUCACUGUUAGACACAGACAUGUAUGUGAAAGGUCGUAUCUCAAGUAAUAUAACAUGCCAGUGGUUAGCUUUUAUACACGUUUUCUAAGAAAAGAAAAAAGGGGAAUAUAACAUAUACUUACAGUGAUUAGCUCUUUUCGGGCAUCUUGCAACUCAUCAUUGCUUUUGCGUUCCUUGAUGAUAAGAGCUUGAUUAAGAUCUUCCAAGUCUUCCAGUUCUUCUUCCUUCUCUUUCAGUUCAUCUUGAAUUACCUCCAUCCUUUUCUUUGUGUCUGCAUCCCCAUCACCAUUCAUGUGCUCCAUCACUUGUAAAGCCCCUCUCAAACGCUGUAUCUCAAGUUCUAAUCCUUGUCUAGUAUCAAGUUGCUUUUCUAGCUUAAUGAUUUCUCUGCGAAGUUUCUCUUUAUCUCUCUGACAUAGGAAAAUAAAUAAAUGGUAAAUGUAAGAGAUUCUAGAAAUUGAAAAUAGCACACAAUAUGAAGACCAAAGAUAUACCUUGUGCUCUUCAGCCAGUUUGAACAUAGUUUCAUCAGCCUUCUUUUGUUCCAAGGCUGCUCUCUCGUUCUGCCAAAACAAUUUAUGAAUAUUUUGAUUUGUAUAGAUAGGAAGUAAUAUGAUAGGUUCACUAAAUCAAUUUUUGUUAUUAUGGUUUAGAUAAAAGGACUAAUUGCUAUACCUACUAUAUUGGACAACUUGUAUCUAAGGUAUCAAAAAAUAUCGGUACAUGUGUUUAAAAUUUUGAUACACUAUUUUAAAUAUGUUCAACAUACCAUCAUCUUCUCGUGCUGAAGUUUUUUGGUCUCAGUUUCAUUUUGAGCCUCCCGUUGCAACAAUUCCUUCUCACGCUGCUCUAAUUCUCUUUUCUGGUCUAGAAUACAUUUUGCAUUCCUCUCAUGUUCUAAAGAAAUCUGCUUGAAAUGAUUAUGAGCAUUCUCCUGCAUCUUUUUACACUCUACACAUUAUAAACUAUAACCCGUUAACAAUUAGAAUAGUAUAAAUUGAAUUUAAAUCCCUUUUAGAAACUAGGAUUGUAGCAUACCUUCAUUAUAAGCUCUGAUCAUGUCAUCUUUUUGCCACAUCAAUGUACUCAUUGAGCUACUCACUUCAUUGAAUUUGUUCUGCAUUUCCUGAAGGCGUUGAUUCUUGGUCUCCAAGGUAUUGUUUAGUGUUGUCAAUAGCUUUGAGGUCUUCCUUCGAUCUUCGGCUUCUUUGCUCGAAACGGUCUUCAAGUCUCCGUUCCUACGAAGAUAUUCACCAAUCAUUCCACCAGAGUAGUAGUCGUCUUCACGAGCAACCCAUGCAUACAAUUUGUCUUUUUUCCUCCGGGAUGAGUAGUAAUCCUUCUUUCCAUAACGGUCCAAUUCAAAACUCUUUUCAAACAUGAUGGCAUUGUUAAAACCAUCCCAUUCUUUAUUGAACUCUACUAUGGCGUAUCCUGAGUGACCGUGUCGGUUCCAAAGAGGUUGAACCUUCAAUGGAUUGAAUCCCUUUUUUGCCAAAUCCUCCCUCAGUUUCCUUCCACUUUCCCCUACAUGUUUUCCAUCUUGCAAUGUUGUUGGAAUAUUGGCAAUGAUGCCCUUCCAUGGAUGAACAAACAUCUGGUCAUCACGAAAUAAAAAUAUACACAUUUUUAAGUUUGUAAACAACUAGAAAGUAUAUGCAGAUAUGAUGCAGUAUAAUGACUAAAUGUGACGAGUGGAUUCCAUAGCAUCUCAAAAUUUGCCACCCAUAAGUGCACGAACCAAUGACCAUUCACUAAAGAUAGUCCUUAUUCAAAACACAAGUACCUAGCUCAAAGUCUAAUAAUUCCAUGAAAUCCUAUAUUCAAAAUUAAAGCAUUACACAUCUUUAGUAAACUUUUGAAAAUUCCUUAAAUGCAUUAACAGAUUUCAAAAGUUUACCCUUCUGAAGAAAGUGAAGUGUCUGAUUAUAAUAAAAGCAAAGCAUAAAAGAAACUUUUGAAACCAUUACUAGGCCUCAGCUUCUUAGAAACUAUAUAUAUACAUGACAAAAAGCCACAUCUUCAGCAAAUAAAAUCAUAUACAAGCAGAGCAUAGUAAAGAAAAUGCAAAAAUUGAAACAUAUGAAGCAGCUACAAACUUAAAUUCAAUUGUCAUUUCAUUUCUAACAAGCAUUCAACAGCCAAAUUAAGUAAACUAGAGGACUUUUCAAUGAACAGAGCAAAUAUAUACAAGAGGGUAAACUUUCACUAGUGUCAAACUUCAUCUUCCUAAAGUGGAAGACACAUGUAGAAUUUUAAAUAGAUUAAAAAUGUCUAAUUAUUGGUUUGAUAUAAAAAAACUUUCAUUCGGUGAAUAUGUGAUUUUCGAUUGUCCAUUAAUAUAAUAGAAAUAUUGCAUCCAUUUGAAACUUCACAUAUAUGAUGAAUAACAUUAUAAUUGAUAAACUCAAUGAUUAAAUUGUUAAACUAAAUAGCAAGUGAAUCCAACCUAUGGUAAACAGAAACGUCAGUGUUCAUAACAAAAAAAAUGAAGUUAUACAUUAACAUUUUCCUUCACUUUCGUCAAAGCCAAACAGAGCAAGCACAUAUAUAUCAUGUAUCGACAUUUUCCUUCUCCUUUUCCUUCACUAUCUCGUUAAAGCCAAACAGAGUAAACACACACACACACAGAUAUACAAUACGUUAAGCAAAAAGGCACUAUUCAAAAAAAAAAACGCAACAAACAGUAAUGACUUACCUUACAAAGACGAUGAUUCGUUGACGAAACUUUGGCAAGAAGCUUGAAAACAGAUCACCGUCGUCGCAAAAUCACCGCCGUGGAACACUGAAAACCUUGAAAAACCUAGAGUUACAACAAAAAAAACAAAGCGAUGAAAAUCUUCUUUUUUUUUUAAUUGAGAAAAAAUUGUCUGCGCUUUGCUUACCAGAAUAAGUGAAGAACAGUACGACUCUCAAAUGCCAAUACGCGGUUGGCAACAAAUUUGUCGUUUCAAUUUCUCCUGGGUCAGACGGCUUCUCGAGAGUAUGUUAAAACCAUGUACUCGCGAUUUAGAUCCAAAUAAGGGCUUUGAUUUUUAAUCAAGUGGCUUUAAGGGCGAGUGUAAUGCGGUUGGUUAGUUGGGAUGGUACGGUGGGAUCCGUACGAAAGCGUGGAAUAUGGAGAUUGGGAGGUAUUUCGUGAAAUCAUCAAUGUGGAGGAUUUUUUGUUUCCUUAUAAAAAAACCAAAAGAAUUAGUUGACUCUUAUAUUAAAUUCUAACUCAAUUGAGUUAUCUCGGUAUUAAAAAAAUUAAUAAAUCUUUUUAUUAACGAUUUUCAUUUUUUAUUAUGUUGAUUGAAUGCAGAAGAUUUUUUUUUUUCAAAAGGUGAGUUGAUUUUUAGAGUAUUUUGGAAAUUGUAAACAUUAAAAGGUACUAAAAAUGCAAAACUAAAGAAAAUGAGGGACUAAAAGAUGAAUUUUUUGUUUUAUUCUAAGCUUACGAGGACUUAGUUUAGAAUUUUUGAAGAUUAAAAUUUAUUUAUCCAUUUGUUGGCACAUUUAGUAUUUUUCUCUAAAAUUUUAUCAUUAAUAUCAUGGUACAUUCUUAUCAACUUAAAAAUAAGUAAAUCGAAACAUGCUGAUCAAAUAUCGCGAGUUAUAAUAUUUUAUCAGAUGUUUCUUAAGUUUUAAUUGGCAUUCCAAUGAGUAGUUAUAACCGUCACUAGUGGUGAAAUUUAACAUUAAGUUUUGGGGUUAAUUAUAAUUUUUUAAUUUUUUGAGGGUUUUAAUGAGUUUUUUCAAAAAUUCUUCAAAAAUUUUAGAGGUUUUGUGAAUAUUUACAACAAAAAAAUGGAAGAGCCUAAUUGAAAUAUUUAAAAAUUUUCAAAGGUUUAAUAAUAUAUUUCAAAAACUUUAGAGGGUUUAAUUAAAAUCUUCAAAAAUUUUGAGGGUAUAACUAAAAAUUUUUAAAAAAAAUUUGGGAGGCCAAGGGCCCUAGGCCCUAAUGAGAAUCGGUCUCUGACUGCCAUUUCUUUCUCUCAUUCAAAGCCAUGCAUGAGACUUUCAUAUAGCACAGCUCCUAAGUUACAAAAGUAAAUAAUAACUUAUAUUCUUUCUAUUUUUUUUAUUACCUUCUUCGUGUACGUAUAAGAUCGAACCCACUCGAUUCUAAAACGGAUUACUAAUCUUUAACUUUUUGUGGAAUCCUUCAUCAAUGGUUGUGAAUGCAUGAUUUUUCUUAAUCUUUUCAGCCUUGGUUCCGUAGGAGCAAGUCAGAAAGAUUGAGAAAUAGAACCAACUAAUGUGAUUCAUUCUCGAUAGCCAUGAGAUGAUCAUCUUAGGGUGAUUCUUUUGUCAAUAGAUGCUCCUAUCCCCCUUUGACAUUUUCUCUCUUCUCAUCAAUUCAAUUCAAAAAUAUUAUUUUUAUACAUUAGGAUAGAAAACGACCAUCUCUUUUUCUUUUUACACUCAAAUUUUAUUUUAUUUCCACUUUUCACUUCCUCUUUCUGUCUCUCCACUUUUCCACUUAAUCAAGUACAAAGAAAAUUAUCUAAAUUGAAAUAUAUAAAUCAGGUUUCAAUUUAAAAUUCUAAGGUUGAAUUAAGUCAUGUUUGAGCUUUUUUUUUUUCUAAUCUAGCCUUGGCUCGACCCAUAAACCCUUUUAUCCUCAUUUAAUACUGCUAUUAAUAUAGAUUAUAAAAAAAUUGAUAAUUUUUGUUUAAAUUUACAUUUUGGUCUUCCAUUUUCUUUUCUACAUAAAUUUAUUGCUUGUGAUGUUGUUUUCUAUUCUAAAUUAUUUUUCAAAUAAAAAAUUAGUGUAAGUUAUUUUAAUAUAUGAGGAUCUCUUAGCAGCCUUGAUAUAUAAAAAUUAAAAAUUGACUUCAAAAUUAUUAUUUUUUAAAAUUAUAUAAUUAUAAAUAAUACAUGUUAAAUUUAUAAUACACAAAAUAAUUAAAAUCAAAAUAUAAAUUAUAGUAAAUUUAGACAGAAUUCACUGACAUAAACCAUAAUAAAAUCUAAAAUAACUCAACCCAUUUAAAUUAGAAUUUCAAAUUUAAAAAAAAACUGUACUAAACAUUAAUUUUCAAUACCCAGUACAUUUAAAAUUUUCAAAUUAAAAAAAAAAACACUUUCUAUUAUUCCAAUUAAUAUAACAUGCUCAAUUUGUCAAAAGGCUUAAUAUAAUAUUUAGUACUUGAACUUGACAUAUUUUUCUAACUUGGUCUCUGAACUUGACUCUUUUUCCUAAUUUGGUACCUAAUUUUUUUUGCUCGAAUUGGUACUUGGACUUGUCAAACUUUUUUACGAAUUACUCCAAUAUACUGACAAUGUUAUUUUUUAUGAGUUAGCAAAAAUAAUCAAUAUAUGACCGACAUGUGAUAGAUAAUAUAAUUUUUUUGUAUUUUUUAUGUUCAAUUACUUUUAGCUUUAUUUGUUUAAUUAAUUAAUUUAUUAAUUGAAAAUAAUGAAUUUCUUUUAAUUUGGGUUUUUAAAUAUUAAUUCAUUAAGUGUAGCUCAAUACCUAUUUUUUUAACAUGAAUUUUCUCUAAUAUUGACAAUGUUUUUGUAGCAUAACAAAAAAAAAACACACAGAUAGUGUUUUGUGUAAUUUGUAUAACAUUUAAUAAAUUUAGGUACCAAUUUAAACCUCUGAAAAAGCUUAGGUAACAAAUUAAGAAAAAAUGGCAAGUUCAGAUACCAAACUGGGCCAAAAAAAAGUUUAGGUACCAAAUUAGAAAAAAAUGUCAAGUUCAGGUACCAAUUUGAGCCCAAAAAAAGUUUAGGUACCAAAUUAAAAAAAAAUGUCAAGUUCAAGUACCAGAUAUUAUAUUAAGUCUUAUAAAAAAGACCACUAAAUUUUAAAAAAGAAAAUAAAAGAAAAGAAAAUUACAUUAUGAUACCAAAGUUGUUGAAGUAAAAUUUAGUUUCAAAUUAUAUAUUCUUUUAAGGAAUGAAAAAAUUUUAAUUUUUACAUUUUUUUAAUAUUAUAAAUUUAUCAUGUUGACUGAGUUGGUGUCACCCAUCUAUUGGGUUUCAACUCAAUUAAAAAUUUAUAUAAAAAAAACUUAUUUGUUUUAUAAAAUAAGAAACAUUACUAUAAGGGUAUCUUUGUCAUUACGUAUCUAGGCAAAAUGCAAAGAAAUACACUUGAUGGAAUUUGAACUUAAAACACCAUAGUUUUUAAUAUUUUAACUUUAUUAUUUCAACUAAAACAUCAUAUAUUUAUUACAUUAAUUUUUUAUAAAUAUAUUUGUUAUCUAAAUUUUUUCACUCGCAAUGUGGGUGUACCAUGAUUUAAUUUAGAAUUAAUUGCACUAAACAUCUUCAAUUACGGCCCUCGUUCUAAACUGAUCGUCAAAUUUUAAAAUAUUCUAAUUACAUAUCAAAACUAUCAAAAUUAUAUAAAUCGGGUCUUUCGUUAUUAAAUAUAUUAAAUUAAUCAAUAAAAGCCACAUCAAACUUUAUGCUACUAAAUUUAAAAUAAAAAAAUUAAAGAAAAAUAAAACGUUGUAACGUAACUUUUAAAAGUAAAAAUUAAAAAUAAAGAGUAAAAGAUAAAGCUUCCAUUUAAGUUUUGAAAACUUCAAAAUUUAUAUUUUUAAAACAUUCAAUUUUACAAAUUUCAUUUUAAAUCAUUAAAAUCAACAAGUUUAGUAACAAAGGGACCUAAUUGAUAUAUACAAUAGUUUAGGAUGUAAUCAGAAUGAUUUGAAGCUUAGGAACUAAUUUAAAAUAAGGGUCAUAAUCUGAUGCAAUUACCUCUUUAAUUUAUAUAUAUAUUGGUACAAACUUUAAUUUAUAUUAAUGUAGCAAAGUGGGGACCAAAAAUCCACAAUGUUUGAAACACAAACGAAAUUAUCAAAUUUGGGCAGCCAAAAAAUUGUCCCUUUCAAGCAAUUUGCCAAUAUAUGUUUAUUUUUACACAUGCUUUUGGUUCACCGAUGUUGCCGGAAUUGACCUCUUAUUUUCUUAUUUUUUAUUUUACAUAUAAAUAUGUUUAUUUAUUUAUUGGCAAUAUUUAAUAAUGCAUCAAAUAUAAAUUCAUAAAAAAAAUUUAUGAUUCAUUAUGGGAAAUAAUAAUGGAACAGUGGAAUUUAAAAUUAUAUUACAUGUUGAAAUCGAUUCCGGUGAUUGGACGAAAAAGAUUACCUUGAGUCAAUAAUAUGAUUUUAACAGUAGUGUUUAAGGUCCGAUGUGGUUGGCCUAACGCGCUUUUAUAGUUCAAAAUAAAAAUAUAUAUUAGUAUUAAUAUAGUUUAUAUUGGAAUUUAAAUAAAAAUAUUAUUUCUUCUUUUCUUUUAAUAAUGAAACAAAACAUAUGAGCAGGUCGAACCGAGCUUGAACUUUUUUUUUUAAACGAAAAUUAACCGGCCUAAUCCAUGAACACUUUUGCUAACAAUUGAAACAACAACAAUUACUACUAAUAGUACUACUUAAAAUGCCCUUAACUCGAAUAUUAUGUUUAAAUAAAACACUUGAAUCGACUCGUUUUGAAAAUCCAACUGAUAAUUUUAAAUGAUCAAAAUUUAAAAUAAUUUAAUUGUAAAACGAUCUAAACUCAAAAUGAUUUGAAACUAUAAAAUUUAAUUUAAUCCAAAACCAAACUACCUACCAAAAUACAAAUAAAUUUUACAUAACAAAGCAAAAAGGUCCCCACAAUUUCCAAAUCCUAAAUUCCAAACAACACCCACAUCAAAUUCCAACCUCACCAAACCCAUUCAACAAACUUAUCUAAAAAUGGAAGUGAAAUUCUCAAUGGGACCUCCACUCACUCUUUCCUUUUAUGUUUUUUUUUUCUGAUUGAUACAAAAAAUUAUAAAAUUAGAGGGAUACUAAGUUUGAUAUUUAUUGUAGAUUAAAUCUUAAUUCAGUUGACAUCGUCGUUAUUAUCAGAAGUAGACUGUUUAAAAGAUUUAACAAAAAUUACGAUUUUUCUUUUGAUUUUUUUUAAAAUUUUAAUUAAUCUCUCAAAAACUUAAAAAUUCUUAUUAAUCUCACAAGAAUUUUAAAAUUUUAAUCAGACCCCAAUUUUUUUAAAGAAAUAUCACUAAACUCUUGAAAUUUUUGAAAACUUUACAAGUCCCCCAAAAAAUAACUUAGUCCUAAGAUCUGCCGCCAUUGGUUAUUAUUGUUGCAAUAAUUAAGAGAAUGUAAAUUCAAACAUAUCAUGUAUUUAGGGGUUUUGGGUAAGCUUUUUAAAAUUGGACAAUAGGUUGAAUUGAUUAAAUUGUGGCAAUUCAACCUGAUCAAAUGACUUAUCUUAUUUUAAUUAAAUCAAUUAUUAAUAAUUCAUAAAAAUUAAAAAAAUAUAUUGAUAAAUAAAAAAAAUCGAUUCAUUAGUUUCGCUUAAUGCUGUUUUAUUAAAAAAAACAAUUUAAUGAUCAGUUCAAUAAAAUUUUAGCUCUAUUCUAAACAAUUUACUCAAAAACUGACUGGUUCAAUCUUUUUUGUUUAGAGUGAUAUACCGUUUAGUUUCCAGUCCAAUUAAUCCGACAAAUCGAUUUAAUUCCAAUAAUGGUUUUACCGAUAUUGUAUUAGUAAAUAUAUUCGUAUCAUUAAAAAAGAAAGAAAAAAAGAAUACACUUAUAAAUAUUUAACCUAGAAAAAAAUAUAGUAAAAACCCCAAAACAAAUUAUAUUAUGUUUUGUAUUUUAUUAUUAACCAACCUUAGUUCGUUGAUCUCUUCGCCAUCUCCCAUUUGACCUCAAAAAAAAAGUUUCCAUCCUUCUUUUGUUUUCUCCGUUUUGAAGCUCUCUGCAUUUCGUAUGGUUAUGAAGUGUUUUCAUUUCACUAACGGCGAGGGUCGUGACGAAGGAGAAGAUGUCAGCGGCGGCGGAGGCGUUGUUUCGAGGAUGUCGUCGAAGGUGACGUGGACUAGGUCUUUAAGCGUGGCGUCAAGCAGCGCCGACACGCGUCGUUCCGAGUUCGAUUCCGAGUCGACUCGGGACUUCGCCUCGGCGGCGAGUUUCUGUGAGUUCCUGACUCAGCGCCGAGCUAACGAUCUACGUGUCUUUACAUUCGCGGAGCUGAAAUCAGCUACUCGCGGGUUCAGCAGAGCCCUUUUGAUAGGCGAAGGAGGCUUCGGCUGCGUUUAUAGAGGCGCCGUUGACGUUUCCGAUGAAGUUAACGGCGGUCGUUAUUCAAAGUUGGACGUGGCCAUCAAACAGCUUAAUCGUCACGGUUUCCAGGCAUAUUCCCUUUUUGCCCCUCAUUGUUUUCCAUUUUACGUUCUUUUUUUUCCUAUCUGUUUUAAAAGAUUCCACUUUCUUUAUGUCUUUAAUUUAAUCGCAAUUAUAAUUAUUUGUAUCUGAAUCUUGCUUUUCGAACUUCAUAAUUUAUUAUAAGUUAAGGAAAUGUCAAAAUCAUUAAAAUUUGUAAUAAUGUUAGAAAAAGUUUGUUCUUUUUAUUAAAUCAUAAAUCUAUCUACAUCAAUCACAUAAAUUUCUUUCGAGAUUCUUCCAAAAAAUUUGAAAUUUAAUUUUUUUUACAAAAUUAAAUUUCAUACUUUUCAAUUUAAUUUUUUUUAAUUUAAGUAAAAGGUUGUUUUCUAUCAAGUAUGCUUAUUAAGUUUAUAAUUAUUUGUUUAUGAAGAUAAUUUUGACUUAGAUUACAAUUUUUAAAUUGAAAAAGUAAGGAUUAAAUUGUAAACUUAUUCAAGUAUAGGGAUUAAUGGUAAAUUUUGACAUUUUUAAAUAUUGAACGUAUUAAGCAUUAUUGUAUUUGUUAUUAACAUCUUGAGGGAUUUGGCAUGUUUUUGAUUUCCUAGUAUGCAGGGGCAUAAGGAAUGGAUAAAUGAAGUGAACUUUUUAGGCGUAGUUAACCACCCGAAUCUUGUACGAUUAAUCGGCUACUGUGCCGAGGAUGAUGAGCGAGGGAUUCAGAGACUUCUGGUCUACGAGCUUAUGCGUAACAAAAGCUUAGAGGAUCGACUUUUGGCUCGGACUCCAUUGCCGUUGCCGCCGUUGCCUUGGGUGACAAGGUUGAGUAUCGCACAAGACGCUGCCCGGGGUUUGGCUUACCUGCAUGAAGAAAUGGAUUUCCAGGUAUAUACCGUCUCGAUAAUGCCCAUUUUUAACUUGAAAUCUUGGGAUUGUUCCGUUCCGUACGCGAAUCUUGUUUCUGUCUUUGUGAUUUUAUCGUGCUUUACGGUUGCAGCUAAUAUUUAGAGACUUCAAAACAUCGAACAUUCUACUAGACGACGACUUCAAUGCAAAGCUUUCAGAUUUUGGACUGGCUCGGCAAGGACCCCCCGAAGGAUUUGGGCAUGUUUCGACAGCAGUAAGUUAACCUAGAAAGUUUUAGAUUUUGAUGCCUUGUGUCUUAAGAAACUUAGUUCUUGCAUUUGUCUUACGAUGUUUCGGAAAAUGUUUGUUAAGGUUGUCGGCACGGUAGGUUACACUGCCCCUGAGUACGUGCAAACCGGCAGGCUAACUGCCAAAAGCGAUGUUUGGAGCUUCGGGGUUGUUCUAUACGAGCUCGUCACCGGAAGGCGAGCUUUAGAAAGAAACCUACCUCGAAGCGAACAAAAGCUCCUAGAAUGGGUGAGACCUUACAUAUCAGAUUCGAAGAAAUUUCACCUUAUUGUAGACCCUCGCCUCGAAGGACAGUAUUGCCUGAAAUCGGCUCGGAAGCUAGCAUCCCUAGCAAACAAAUGUCUAAUGAAAAACCCUAAACCCCGUCCCAAAAUGAGUGAAGUGGUUGAGAUGCUAGGCAACAUCAUUAGUGAGACUUCAUCUCAAUAUGAAUCGAUCUCUCAACCGAUCGGCGAGAACGAAGAUGUAAAGGAAGAAAGCGAAGUGGAGACUGAGGUCGAGUCCACAAAGCAAGGACGCAAUUACUUGAAGAAGGUUUUCGAAAUCAAAGAAAUAAUUAGUUUAAGAAACCGAUCGGUCGGGAAGUUAGAUUGGAGAAAUUGGACGCCGGGGCUAGUGAGAACUUGGUAACGAUGACCUUUCCGUGUCCAACUCCCCAGCUGCAAAAGAUAUAUGUACUUCGAAUAUCAAUAUGAUACGAGUAAUUCUUCGAACGUUCGGAGGAUAAUUUAUGUAUCUUCCAACUCUUCUUUUGUUGAAACUUUGUUGUAAAGAUAGUUUAUUUUCAAAGAAAAGCUACAUUUUAGGGUUAAUGUUUAUUUCUUCAAAUGGUCCAAAACUCGAACUCGUAUGGUAUUUUCCUUCAAAAUAUUAUUAUUAAUAGGAAUCAUGGCUAACAAUAAUACAAAGACAUGGCAUAUAGUACAAGUAAUAAAUAAAUUAUUACAAAUUAAUGUACAAAUAUCAUGUCUGAAAAGUAAUUUAAGAAAAAAGGAGAAAGAUAAACGAAAAAUAAUUGCAACAUUAGAAUAAUUCAAAAACAAUCCAGAGAUGCAUCAACUUAAUUAAAUCGUUGAAAAUUAAAUCAUGUCCUUGUCAUCAUCAAAUCAACUUGAUGAUGAACGCUGAUCAACCAAAAAAUACUACCAAAAAUUCUUAAAGACCCACCACAUUAGUAAUGCACAAAAGGUUAAGUCUCAAAUGCUCUUUCUCCUCAUUAUCUCAAGUUUAACAAUCACAAUAAUCUAUUAUGAUAAAACCUUUUAAGAAUGGCUUCGAAUAGAUCUAACGACACUCUUAUAUUAACAAAGAGAAGAGAGAGCUUUCGAUAAACGUAAAUAGUACCCAAAAAAAAACGUAUGACAGUGAUUUUAAUUUUUUGAAGUUAAGUGACUAAAAUGUAAAUAAACUUGAAUGCAAUUUACCCAUAAUAAUAAAAUAAAAUAAUAUUUGAUUAUAAAAUGUAGUCCCAAGCAUGGCUAGAAAAAAAAGCAAGACCUUUUCAAAAAUAAAUACAAUAUUGCACACACACACCCAUGUUUCUAGGGUUUGCACUUGCAAUAGUAUAGAUUUUUUUUACAUCCAUUUUUAAACAAAACUGUACACUAACAGGUUAUAAAAUGCCGAAUGCCUCGGGUUGCAGAGAUCAUUCUGGAACCGCCAGAGAAGAACUUCAGUUUUCAUUUUCAGUCAUAAAGAGGCGAAGCCGAUGGCCGAGGGUACGCCGUAGUAGUAGUACUCCUUCCACCACUAGGAUUGUCUGCACUUCGCCUACGUAUCCGGGGUGUACUGCUAGUGUUGUUGCUCAGAUUACUUCCAGAUUCAUUGGAAUUUUGGAGUUGUUCCAAUACUAUUACAACUUCGUUCAUUCUCGGUCGGAAUUUGGGUUCAGUAGAAAUGCAUCGUAAAGCAAGGGUAGCAACCUUGAAGGCUCCUUCCAUCGAGUACUGGCCUUCGAGACGGGAAUCUAACACAUGGAACAUUUUUCUUUUGUUGGCUAGGUAAGGUUUGGCCCAAUCCACUAGACUAUGCUCUCCGGAAGGUCGAUUUUUAUCAACCGCUCGGCGACCGGAUAACAUCUCUAGUAACACAACUCCGAAACUAUAAACAUCACUCUUGGCAGUCAAAUGACCUACAGUUCGAGAAAUAAGUAAAUAAAAGAAACAUAACAAGGACGAAGCCAAAAAAAUUGCUUUAGGGGGCCAGAGAUGAAUCAUAAAUUAUUAUUGGGGGCCCAAGUGCAAUUUUACCAUUAUACUAACAUGUAAUUUAAUAAAAAUUUAAAGGACUAUAUGGCAAAUAUACCAUUUGGGGGGUGGGGGAGGCCACUGCCUGACCCCUUUGUCUUCGUCCCUGCUCCGAAGGUUUAUCGAAGCAGAGAAAAGAAGAUUGAGCCAGACUAAAUCAAGCACUUCGAGAAUAUGUUAAUAAAGUACCUGUGGCUAAAUACUCGGGAGCAGCAUAUCCGUAAGUCCCCAUUACCCUGGUCGAAACAUGGCUCUUGUCACCUGUUGGUCCGUCUUUGGCCAAUCCAAAAUCUGAAAGCUUUGCAUUGUAGUUCUGCAAUGUGGAUAAAAGGCGAACUUUACGGAAAUUAUCGAAUGAAAACAUAUAGGGGGAAGUGUAAAAGAAUGGAGACUCAGGUACCGAAUCAAGCAAGACAUUAGAAGUCUUGAAGUCUCGAUAUAUAACUUUUAUUUCAGCACUAUGGAGAAAAGCGAGUCCUUUAGCAGCACCGAGUGCGACCUUCAUCCGAAGAUCCCAAGAAAGUGGCUGGAAAUAAGAACCUCCUGGUAGAGACAACGAAAUCCCGGUAAAGCAAAAUUUUGUUUGAUAAAACUGAGAGGGUGGCAAAGAAAAAAAGAAACUUACUCCGGAAUAAAUGAUUCUCCAAGCUGCCACGAGGCAUGAACUCGUACACCAACAUACGAUGUUCAUCUUCCGAGCAAUAUCCGAUCAAUUUCACAAGAUUUGGAUGAUAAAGCUGUCCGAGAUAAUUCACUUCAGCCUACAAGAUCAAAGAUAGAUCACAGGUUAAUCUCAUCGUCUUAGGCAAGCAAGUUAAUUAGAUCCCGAAAUAAUACAAUCAGCAGUCAAUGAACAAAUAUGAAACUGAUAAGAGUGAAAAUGGACUCACCAACCACUCCUUGUGACCUUGGAACCCUUCCUGGUUAAGCCUUUUAACAGCAAUAACAAUGCCGGUUCCUGGUUUCGAAGCAUUAAACGAAUUUUCAUCGAUCCACCCCUUAAACACAGACCCAAAACCACCUUCUCCGAGCACACUGUCGGGCCGGAAAUUCCUGGUGGCCGUUUUGAGAUUAGCAAAACUGAAGCUUUUCAAAUUAGUGCACUGUAAGAUCUCACCCUCGCUCCGAGGCGUCAAUGGCACCGAAACCGACGAGACCCUGCUGCUCGUAUCACCACUAACAUAGUUCGAACUCAACCCUGUAAACACAAAGUCCGGUCCAACACAUUGGUUAAAGAGAUGAAAUCAUAAGUUACUACAAGAUGAAAUUACACUUUAACCUCACAAACUAAACCUUGGAAUAUAAGAUUUUUCAAGCAAAAUUAAUAAAAAAGUUGGUUAAAAAAGUAAACUUCAAGGGACCUCAAAAAUUCCUAAAUUGCAAACUUGAAAAUUCAAACAACAAUUUACCUACCACCAUAGCUAAAAACCUAAAAAAGGGAACAAACAACAAGUACACUUAAUUAAAAGCAAAUAAUAAAAUAUCAAAGCAACUUAAACAUAAAUACAUAGAUAAGAUGCCAUAAAAGGAAAAUUUUAAGGAUUUUCCGGGAAAUUUCAAAAAUACCUGUGUUAUUUGGGCUCUCAGCUUUGAUUCUAGCACUUAAGCAAAUCCCCAUCAAACCCCCACUAUCUCUUCAACUCUUCCUAUUAAGGGUCAUAAAAAACAACAACAACAUGCACAAAUAUGAGCCUUUUAGUUUAUUUAAAAAAGAAGAAAAAACAACCCAGAAUUCAACAAGGAAAAAGAAGCAGAUCUGGGUUUUUGAAUAAGCAAAAAAAAAAAUCAGCCAUUUCUAUAUAAAAAAGCAUCAUAUAUUGUCAUAUUUCAAAGUUUAAAAACUACUGAAUACCCAAUAAGCUAAACCACCCAAAAGGGAGAAAAAUGAUACAUAUACAUACACACACACACACACAUAUAUAUAAACAAACCUUUUUUCUAGCUGCAAACCAAACCCAACACUGAAUCAAAGUAAAAAAACUUAAGAAAAUUUGGGGGUUUUCUUUAGAAAAUUGGAGCAAAAAAGCUUGAAUUUUUUUUUCCUGAGAGAGCAGUAGUGAGUGAAUAUGAAUAAAUGAUGAUAGUUGCAAAAAUAGAAGAGAGAAAAAAAAAUGAGGGGUUUUUUUAGAGGAAGGUGGGAAGAAUUGCAUUAAUGUUGGGUUGGUCCCAUAUUUUUUUUUUUUUAAGCUUAGCUUUUUUAUAUACUUCUCUUUAAGAAAGAUAAGCUUUUUUUCUUUCUUUCUUUCUUUUUUUUCUUGGCUGUGUUUCCAUAGCUGGCUACUUGUUUAAGAACAGUGUCUGUGUCACUGUCAAGUGGUGGUUUUAUGGGUUAAUAUACUAUUUAGUACCUAAUUUUGAUUCAAAAUAUUCAAUUUGAUACUUGCACUUGGUUUGAGUUUUCUUCAAUUUGAUUUUUUUCCCCUCAAUUAAGCAGUUAAGUUUAGCUUUUAGGUUUAAUUUAGUACUUAUCUUUUUUUCAAUUUGAUUUUUUUGUCUCAGAUAAAUUUUUAAAGUUUGCUUCAAUGUUUAAUUUGGUACUUAACUUUUUUCUUCUUCAUUGAAUACCCCUUUGCCUUCGUCUAUAUUUAGUACUUGAGUUUGGAUUCAAUAUUUAAACUGAUAUUCUUUUUUUAAUUUGAUAGUUGAGUUUUUGGUUUUCUAAUUAAGCACUUGAUUUUAGCUUUAAUGCUUAAUUUGGUAUUUGGAUUUGCGUAUCAAAUAUUUAUUAGACCGCAUCAUGACAUAUUAUUUGGAUGCCAAAUUAAGCAUUAGAACUAAUUUCAAGUAUUAAUUUGACGGGAAAAAAACAAAUACGAAACAAAACAUUGAAAGUAAAUUCAUGUACCAAAUUGUAUAUUAAUCUUUUAAUUUUUAAGGUUUGUCUCUUAUGGAAAUAGUAGGAAAAACACAUUAUUAUGGUCCCCAUUGAAUGGAGGAAAUUCCAUGGAAGCCUUUAUUUUUGUUGAUGAAUCUUUUUCCAUCAAAUCAUUUUUAACUUUUAUUUCCCUUUUUUUCUAACAAUGAUGAUAUACUUCUAGCUUCACAUUCCUAGAAAUUUAAGAGCUUUGAACACUUUUUUAAUAUGACAAAAAUUUAAAAUAUUACGUGAAUUGAGUUUUAAUUUGAUUGGUAUAGAUAUUGUUGUCAAUAUAGGAGGACGUGGUUUCGAGUAUGCUAAAAACACAUUAUUCUCCUAUUUAUGGGUUCGGGAGGGACUAUGGAUAGUUCUAAACAUUGUAUCAAAAAGAGUAGAUACGAUCAGAACCUAUAAUGAUAAUUAUGCGAUGGUUGAAUAAAAUCGAGAUUAAAAUCUAUUUUUUUGUAUUAAAUUAAAUUUAUAAUUUUGAGGUGUAAAUAGGGAGAAGUUAGAAUUUUUUGGGUCAAAAUUGAAUUAUAUAUUUUUAUGACAGUAAAAAUGUAAUUUCGUCAUUUUAAUAACCUAUAUCUUUAUAAUUUUUAGAAGAUUAAAUCAGAUUAAAUCACUUUCUUAUCAUUUUGGGGGUCAAAGUACAAUUUUAUCGUUACUAAUUUAAAAUUUUAUAAAUUAUAUAGAGUCUAAAUAGAAAAUUUUCCAUUUUAAAGGGGACUUUUAAAUUAGGUUUAAAAUUUAUUUUAAAAAUCAUAAUUAAAAAUAUUUUACAUAUUCCUUUUCAAUUAAAACACGAAAGAAGAAAAGUAAGCUUUUGGCUUCAUGCGUGCGAUUUUAGCAAAAUAUUUGCGAAAGGAAAAACAAAAAAAAAAACAACAACUAGCCAUUAGUUUUAACUUUCUUCCAAUUUCAUCCAAUUUACACCUCAAGUGACGUAUGAUUUUCUUCAUUGCUUGCGUCAGCAUCUAAAUCUAAACAGAUCACAACCGUCGGAUAUAAAGACAUUUUUGUCACCGAAGUCGUUCAAUGGAUCGGUCCACGUGAUGGCUUGGUGGGCCCAAUGCUUAAACGAGGCUCGGCUUUUAAGCGGCUUUUACCGGUUAGCCGCUAAGCGGUGAGCCAAGCUGGUAAGGAUUCCUGCCGUCAAGCAUUUAUUCUGUUCGGUGGAUUAAAAUACAUUUUUUAAAUUAUUUAUUUUUAAAAAUUAUUGAUUCCCAACAUUUUCGAAUUCAUUAACAAUAUAAAUAUUUUAACGUUAAAAAACUUGAUUUACAUUUUUUAUUAAUUUAAAAUAUUAAAAUGUUAAAAGUAUUUUUCAUAUUUAUGUUAUUUUUUAAAAUAUUAAAGUAUUUUUCAUAUGCUUAUUUUAUAAAUGUUAUUUGUUUAAAUUGUGAUUUUCAUCUCAAUAUUUCACUCAAUUUAAAAUUUUACACUUUAUAUUUUAAUUAAAAAUAAUUUGAUAUUUUUACUAAUAUUAUUAUAAUUAUAUUUCAGUCCGAAUCACGAAGAACAAAUAAAAACAAUUUAUUAAUUCAUUUUAUGGUUCAUAUUUGUUUGGUUAAUGUGAAAUUUUUUAAAAAAAUAUAUUGAAAAAAAUGAGAUUCUGUGUAUCAUUUAAAGCAUGACAAUCAUGCUUAUCAAAAUAAUUAUUUUUCACUUGAAAAUUUAAGUUUAAAAAAAGGUAAUUUAUAUUUUAAGUUUUAGGUUAUUUUAAAUUACAUUAGUUAAAUUUUGAUUUGGUAUUUAAACUUGACAUAUUUUUUUAAUUUGAUAAUUUGGUAUCCAAAUUUAAUACUUUUUUUUAAUUUGAUACCUAAAUUUGACUCUUUUUCUUAAUUUAGUAUCUAAUCUUUUUUUUUGUUCAAUUUGGUUCAUGAACUUGUCAAACAUUUUACAAAUUAUUCUAAUAUACCAAUAAUGUUAUUUUUUACGAGGUAGCAAAAAUGAUCAAUAUAUGACUGACAUGUGACAGAUGAUAUGUUUUUUUUGUAUUUUAUAUGUUCAAUUAUUUUUAGUUUUAUUUAUUUAUUUAUUUAUUUUAUUAAUAAAAAAUAAUGAAUUUCUUUUAAUUUGAGUUUUUAAAGCUCUUUUUUUUCUUAUUUAAUAUUAAUCCGUUAAGCAUAGCUUAAUACUUAUUUUUUUAACAUGAAUUUCCUCUGAUAUUAACAAUAUUUUUGUAGCAUAACAAAAAAAAAUUAACACGAUUAUUGUUUUACGUAAUUUGUAUAACAUUUAAUAAAUUUAAGUACCAAUUUAAGAAUAAAAUGCCAAGUUCAAGUACUAAAUUGAGUCCCGAUAAAAUUUAGGUACUAAAUUAAAAAAUAUAUAUCAAAUUCAGAUACCAAAUAUUAUAUUAAAUCUUAAAUUUUUAAUUAGUGAAUUGGAUUGAGACAUAAUAUUAUUAAAUUAUAUCUAAUUAAAAUAUAGAAAGCAAAUCCCUAAAUCUAGUAUAUAAGGACGAAACAAAGUAAUAAUAUUCUCUUAAAUAAAUAAAUAUAAAAUUUUACACGUGAUGCACGUUGAAGCAUAUGGUAAGAAAUGAGGUUUUUUUAUUUAAUAAAUCUUAUUCAAUUUUAUGAUUUUUAAAACGAAAUGUUAAUUGAAAUAAUUAAUUUACUAUAUCAAAUUAUAUCUUGUUUUUAAUUAGAACUCACAAACUACGGUACCAUUUAAUAAUUUAAAAUAUUUUUAAUUAAAUAUUAAAUUUGUUUCACAUGUUGUUUAUUUUAGAUAUAAUUUUGAUUUAAUUAAGUUUUAUAGUUUCAUGAGAGUAAAGUUUAAAAGCUCGUAUUUUUUAUAAUUUUAAAAAAGUUAAAUUAAAAUUCAUCAUUUUGAGGAUUAAAGUGUAAUUUUAAUCAUUUAUCAAAUUAAAAUACUGUAAUAUUUAAAAGCUUAAAAGUGAAUGUUGACACCAUUUUUUUUGUGAAAACGAGGUCGACUUGGGUUUUAAAAAAUGAAAACGAAAGUGGGAAUCGCUACCAAUCCUUUUUUAUGAGGUGUGAUCGGAUCACCUCGCAAUUUUAUCAUUUUAAUAAAUAGUUUGAUUUAUUAAAACAUUAUUUUUCGGUCUACAAAAAUCCAGAAAACGAGUUCGGGAGUCGGUUACGCUCGAAGAAGGAUUAGCACCCUCGAUGCGCCCAAAAUUGGUACCUAGUUGAUUAAUUAGUGUCUUGGUGUCGAAAAUUAAAAACUCGAAAAUAAUUUAAAAAAUACGAUCCCUCUUUAUAUUGUGUUAUUUCAAAAAUUACUCGAAUAAAAAUUUUCAGAAUUUUUGGUUUAUCCAAUAAGUACAGUUUAUUCUUUAAAGUCACAUCUGUUCUGCUGUCUGACAGUUCCGACCCUUCUUCACUAAAACUUAAUUAUCUCCUUGUACAGAAUUCGGAUGAUAUCCCCGUUUGUUUCUAUUGAAAGUAUACUCUUUAAGGAUUUUAAAUAUAUAAAUUAUAACCCAUGUUUGUUUUUUUUACAAUUUUUGAUGAUUUUCCAAAGUCAGAACAGAGGAACCCGAAAUCAUUCUAACAUUGUCUCACAAAAUCUAUUAUAUCUCAUGAUUUACAUUUCCAUUACUUAUACUGUUUCUUCUAUGAGAAACUAGACUCGGUAAGUUUUAAUUUCAUACUUUGUUCAUUCUCUAAUUUAAUUUUCACAAUUUAUGGUGAUUUUUCAAAGUUAACCUACUGCUGCUGUCCAAAACUGUUUUAGUGCAAAAUGUUAAUUAUUAAGUUUAUAACUUCCUUAUUCCCUUUCUCUAUAAUAUUUUUCAUCACUUUCACUUAUUUCUCUUCACCAAUAUAUCAAGAACAUAAGAAUUUAUAUAAGAAAACUCCACUAUAACAUCUUUUCCAUGCUAUUUCAAUAAUAUCAAACUUAAAAAUAUAUUGAAAUCUCAAUGUUCUUACCUUGUCCUAUUGAUUUCAACCUUUAACUUGAUUUUCUCUCUCCUCUAGCUCCAAUUUCUUGAAUCCAACUUGAUAUUCUAGCUCCCCAUAGUCUCCUUAUCAAUUUUCUCUCUUGGUGGCUAUGGAAAUUUCUUUGAAUUCUAAGUGAAAAUAGUGAAUUUUUGGUGAGAGGACCAAAUUGUAAAAAAAACAAAACUUUCUUUCUUUCCCUCUUCUUCUCACGUUAAUGCAUGCAAAAAUGGUGGGGAUGGUUGCUUUUCAUCCUUCUUUCCACACAUAUAUAUACUAAAUAAAUUAAUAAUAAUAAAAUAAUAUCAUUUAAAAAAUCAAAUUAAAAUAUUAAUAAACUAAUAUUUAUUUAUUUAUUAAUCUAAAAUAUCUCCAACAUCAUCAUUAUCUUCUAGAUUUCUCUCUCUUCUAGUUGACCAUUUUGCCCUUUAUGAUAUUUUAAAAUUCCAUCAUUGAGUCAUCACUUAAUUUGGUAAAAUUGUGAUUUAGUCCCUCAAACUUCUUCACCUUUUUCAAUUUGGUCCUAAUCCAUCCAUUUUUCUUAGUUUCUGGAUCAUUCCACCUUUAAAAUAUUUACACCAUUGGUCCUUCAACUUUUUCUUAUUUACACUUUAACCCCUCAAAUUUUGAGUAUUUACUAUUGGGCAACAAAACUUUUCUCACUUUUGCGAUUUAAUCCUUUCUUGAACUAAUAUGUCAUAAUAUACGUCCCAAUGUUGACAUAACUCCAAAAUUUCCCCUUUUUGAUGCUUUAUUUUCUUAUUUUAUUAUAUCAAAUAUAAUAUCUUACUGUAAAAAUUUUUGGGGUAUUACAAUUUUUCUUUAAUAAAAUUUUAAACAUUCACAUCUUAGCAUAUUUAUUAAUGUUUACAUUACAAUAUUAUAUAUUUAACUAUAUUUUAUAUAAAUCACGUAAUAUAUCAAAAAUAAAAAUUUAUAAAUCUUUUACAAAGAAGAAAACGAGUUAGGACGGUUCAAAUUCGGCCCAUAUUUGAAACAAAUUUAAUUUUUUUUCCUAAUCUCUUUUUUCGAACCUCGUAUUUUUAUUGAAACAAUUAAAUGAUUUGUUUUUGAACAGUCUCAUUAUAAGUUCUGAUUAUAUCUGCUUUUUUUGCAUAAAACUAUCCAUAACCAUUUUCUAAUCCAUAAAUAGGAGGAUAAUGCGUUUUACCGCAGCCAAACUUAUACUAUUACAUUAACAACAAUACUUAUAACAAUUCAGCUAAAACUCAAUCCGUAAUUAGUGGAUAAUUAUUAAGUGUUAAAUAUGGGAAUAUCAAGUGACGGAUUUGUCGGCUAUGAAACGAGAUUGACGGGCAUUUAUAGUGUCAUGUCUCCACCAUGCUUUUAUAAAAUGGUACUUUCAUGUGACUUUUAAAUAAGUGAAUAAAUAAAGUAAAACCAUGAAAGCAACGUCGACCGUUUUUAUGGUAAGUUGAGAAAUGUAAUAUUUUCGUGAUAGUUUUAGUUUAAUAUAUGUUUUUCAUGUUUGGAUUAUGGGACGGUACCUAAUUUGAAUUUAAAUGAGAGUUUUCAAAAUAUUUUUAUUCUUGGAUUUAAUUAUAAAAAUAUUAAUAUUAAUAUUAACAUAAAAUUAUAAAUUUAAUUGUUUUGUUAAUUUUUAAAUAAUAUUACGGGCCUACAAUAAUAUGAGUUUUGGGGGCAAGUUGAGUUGGGCUUAAAAUUUUUAUAUUGGCCUCAAUCGGAUUUAACCUAUAGAUACCUCUACUUUAGGUAACACUAUAUAUUUCCCUUAUUAAUAUGGCAUUUUAAAAAUAUAAACAUCAAUCUUGAAAUCGUUUUUUUCUUUUCCUUUAUUUUGCCUAGCUGCAGUGCCAGCUUUCGGGCUGGCUACCGUCCGCCUCGUUCACUUCAUAUGACUCUCCUUUUAGUUUGUAGAUCUAUUUUGUGAGCUCUCUAUUCACUCCAAAUGCUUUAUAUUUUUUUUCAAUUUGCAGAUCUAUUUUGUGAGUAUCUUCAAUAUCUUCCCAAGUUGUGAUGGACAAAUGAUGAUGUCGUCUUUGAACCUUCACCGAUCAUCAAUGGUUUCUUUUGGAAAGUGAGUUGGUUGUAUAAACUCAAACAGUGGCUCUUCAUCGACUUCCUAAUAUGUUUAUGUUUUGAAAUAAUAAAUGAAUUCGUGAGUCAAUUUGGACAUGUAUUAUCUUUAAGUUUUAUAUGUUUUCUUAUUUGUUUUUCAUUGUUUAAUAAGUCUUAACUUUUUAAAAAAAAUUCAAUCUUGCUUAUACAUGUAGUCUUACUUUUGUGUGAUUUUAGGAGAUUUUCUGGUCGGCCUCUCUAGUUUGAUGGAUGCUCAAUUAUUUUGUCGAUUCCACCCACCGCUCUGAAUCAUCUAAGGUUGAUUUUCUGAUCGUGAUAGUUGCUUGCAAUCGCUCCAAAUAUGUUGUGUGUGAGUUGUGACAAAGCCAAAUAUCAACGUGUUGUAAUGUUCUAUUGAUGCUAAAGUUGAAGCCUUUGUCGUGUUUAUGGAGCUUGUCCUUCAUCGCCAACAACGAGUGUUUGUUUUUUUUUUCUUUUCCCCGAAUUGUAAGAUCCCAUUUAUGGAAUGACUUAAUAAAUUUUCCCUUAAAAAAAACAAUUCUACCCAAUUUUCAAUGACUUCAAUUCUAUUCACUUAAUCCAAAACAAGAGAAUAAUAAAAACUAAUUAAUUAAAUUACUCGAUUCUCUAUCAUAUAUAUUUUCAAGUAACAUCAUAUACUCCUCAUAGCUCGGCUUCAAUAGUUGAACAGAUUCCAAUCAUUUAGGCAAAUCUCAUCUUCCAUCUUCCAAGAAUCGUCCCUAAUAACACCACCAGAUGACGCGCGGCAUGACCAAUCUCCACCAUCCUGCACCCUUCGUGUUCACUUUGGACCAUUCCACCUCCGACAACCUCCAACAAGUUUCCCUGCUAUGUUUGAUGAAACGUUUAUCACUACCCUUUGUAUGUUGUUUUAUCUCCAUCACCUUCCCCAAAAAGUGGCGACCUUGUUCUAUAAUUCCUUCAACGUUCAAAUGGGAGCCAUUAAAAAGAACAAUUCUUCCACAAGCACCAGCAGGGAAUGGCAAUUUAGCUUGUCUCGACCCUUAUCUAAUAUAUCUUCAAUAUAACUUGAUUAAAUCUGAAUUAAAUUUAAUUUAUUUAGCCCAACAAAUUGAAAAUUUAGAUUCAUUUUGAAGCUCGAUUUUAAAAAAAAUCAAUGGUAUUAAAUUAAUAGGUCGAUUUAAUUUACUUAGCCCAAUAAAUUAAAGAUUUAGGCUCAUUUUGAAGCUCGAUUUAAAAAAAAUCAAUCGUAUUAAAUUAAUAGGUCGAAACUCGUUGAAUUCGAGGUUUUUUGGGGUUGAUUCAAUAAAAAAAACCCAAGAUUCAGUGUACAAUUUAGUCAGUCUAAAACCAAAAAAGAUUAGGUGUAAAAGCAAAAAAAAAGUUGGAGGGGUAAAAGUCCAAAAAGCCUGAUUUCAUUGGGAAAAACUAAAAAAAUAAUAAUUAUGAUAAAUACAAUAAUUUAACGAAUGUCAAAAUCGAAGGAAUUUUUAAUGUAUUUGAUAAGAAAAUGAGUACAAUAUAUAAACUUUUUUUAGACUUAUUUACAUGAAGAGAAUCUUUUUUCUUUAAUUGACUGUACGGAAUGGAUGUACUUGUUUGGCUUUUUGCUUUAUAUUUGUCAAAGAAAUUAAAAGGGAUUUGCUGAAAGUCAACCAAAUGAUAGCAUCCAUAAGUAUCAUCAUCAUUAUUAUUAAAAGGUUGCUCUUAUUUAUGAUUUAAGAAGAGAUGAAAGUAAAUUUAAAGUGGGUUUGGAUGGGCGAUUGGGUGCGGUGCGGUGCGUUUAGUUUACUUUUUGUCUCACGCUACAGUAUCACUACAGUAUCUAAUCUCACCGCCACCGCUGUUUUUAUACUAACCGCAGGUAAACGCACCGCCCAUCUAAACUCACCCUUAGACAUUGUAUUAAAAAGAACAGUUAUGAUUAAAAAGUAAAAUUUAAAAAAUUUUAAAAAAAUCAAAAGAAAUAUGAAAUGAAAGCACCAUAGAGAGAUUUGUCAAAAAGAGUAAACAAAUUGAAACGAGGCACAUAAAUCAACUUUUCAAUUAUUAAUACUAGAAUUUCUUUUGAAAAAUAAGAAAUAAAUUUUUAUUAUUGUUAGAGUUUAUAGAUACAAAUAUAAUGCAAUCGCAAUUAGGAUACAAAUAUGAUUAUAAAUUUGAGUAAUAUAAUUUAUAUUUAAAAAGUAAUAAAAUAUUUGCUUCGAGGGUAUUCUCUUUUAUAUAAAAUCAAUAAUCAAAAUCCAAAAUAAAUCUAAAUAUGGUAAAAUUUAAGUCUGUACCACCAAGAUCUCAAAAUCUCAAAAUUGUCUUUGUAACGAAAGACUCAUUCGGUUUGUUUUCACAAACUUUUUAUAGUAAAUAUUGGUGAUGAAAGAUCAACCCCAUUAAAGGAAGUCAUCAAAGUAUUCUCCACUAGACGUCUUAUUAGGAUAGAUUGUGAAGUACAUAACUACCUAUCAAGGAAAAAUGUGAAUGUUUGCACUUGAUAAGAUUCAAGCCCAUACCCGACAGCAUACAAGGCACCUGUGGGCAACUCAAGUGGUAUUCAAGUUGCUUAUUCAACUCCUAUAUGCUAGCUAUAGGAUAUGGGUUCAAACUCCACCAAACAUAAAACAUGAAUCUGCUAAUGAAUGAAGGCAUUCUCCUUUCGUGAUCCCGGUAAAGCUCUUGGUGGAUGCUGAAGACAAAAUCCGAAGAUAAAAACAAUUGUAGACAUCCUAAGUCUAGUACCGAAUUUAUUAAAGAGCCAUACAUAAUUUUUUUUUAUAAUUUGCGAGCCAUAAAUUUUCGAUUCAGUGCAUUUUGGGCUGUGAACCAGAAACCCAGAGCUAAAAAGGCUCAUUGUAAUAACAUUGAAGAGCUGCCGAUGGACAUUUAUAUAUAGUAAACUACAUUAUUUAGUAAUAGUAAUAGUAAAUUUAUGUUAAGAUUGUUAUUGAAUUAUUCAAAAAUUUUCAUUUCAAUCACUGAGAUUAAUGUUUAAUUUGACAUCAAAACUAAAAAACAUCAUGUAACCCAAUGAAUAUUUGACACAUGUACCUUAGUAAAAAAAUUAUAAUCACUUAAUUGAGAUAAAGAAAAAUGUCAGAUAUCAAAUUAAACAUUAAAAUCAAACUCAAGAAUUAAAUUGAAAAAACUCAGCAAAUUGAACAUUGAAACCAAAGUCAAUUACUAAAUAGUAUAUUAACCCUAAUUGUAAUGAGAAACGAAUUGCUUAAACAAAAAACACAAAUCCAUUAACUAAAAUAAACAAAAGGGAUCUCUGCAUUUCAUUCUCUAAAAGUCAAAACAAAACCAUAAGUUUUCAGAGUUUUUUUUAAACAACAAAGCCAUUUAAAAGUAAACUUUCUAGCUACAGGCUACAUAUGAACAGAGGAAAGGGGGACCAAAAAGAAUGAAUACAUGAGUGUAUAUUGAACUUUUUUAUAACUAGAAAAAAGUCCUAACCUUUGUCGAGCCUGGCCGGUGUGUGAAAUGUCUGAUCAAAAGAUAACAAGACAUGAGCGAUUACAGCUGAAAAACGAAAACAAUUAGAGAUGGAAACACGAAUAUAGAUAUUGCUGGUCAGUAUGAAACCAGGCGUUUAAUCGAUGUAUUCAAAUCUAAAACGACGUAGAAAAUGUCUUCAAAACAUUGCUUGACUACUUUUCUUGACUGUUAGGGACGUAAAUGCAGCGGCCCAAUCUUGUUUAGUAGAUUCAGACACUAAAUCGUUCCCGAGGAAGGGAGUCCAGGAGUCCGAACAGGCAUCAGUUAAAAACCAAUCGACUUUCUCCGGAACGUUAAUGAAAUCAAAGUUCAAUGGCUUCUGUUUUUUAGCAGACUUCUUCUGUUUUUGGCCAGGAGAGUUUCCUGUAGACUGCAAAAGACACAAUUCAAGCAUUCACCGUAUGCCAGGGGAUUAAGAAGUGAAGCAUCGGGUUUUAAAUAUUCAGCUUUUCAACUAACAUGGCUCUUUAUUUCUGACUUACAGGUACUUCACUGCCAGGAAGCUCAGUUCCCUUCUUCCGUUUAGGUGGGGGAGAUCCGUUUUCUAGAAAGUAAAGCACUUCUUUCUUGGAUCUGAAUUUUCGGCCUGACGUUGGAUCAACGUAAUACUGCACGAAAAAGGUUAUCAUGUAUGUUUAUAUUAUCACCGCAGAGCCAAUCCUCUCGAAAACACGAGCAACAUAAAUCCAAGUACACAAGAAACAUAUUGUUGAUGCAAGAGAAUAACCAUAUCUUGACUAAAACACACCCUAACCGAAAUGAAAUUUCCAAUGUUUCAUAGGUUUCUAUAACUCUCUAAAGCAAAAUACUAGUCGCCGGACAACGAAACAUUCUCUCGAGUCAAAUCCAAUCUUAUGGACCAACUUUUACUAAGACAUUCAUUCACCGGACUGUCGCAAUACAUCUCGUUUCCACAAUAGAACGAAGAUGAAAGCUCGUACAUGUGUUUAUGCAAACUGAGUUUUAGCUUCUCAAGAUGCAGCAAUGUUUCUAUAACUCUCUAAAUCAAAAUACUAGUUGCCGGACUACAAAACAUUCUCAAGAGUCAAAUCCAAUUUUAUGGACCAGCUUCAACUGAGACAUUCAUACCCCGCACUUUCGCAAUGCAUCUCGUUUCCGUGAUAGAACAAAGAUGAAAGCUCGUACAUGUGUUAAUGAAAACCAAGUUUUAGCUUCUCAAUAUGCAGCAAUGUUUCUAUAACUCUCUAAAGCAAAAUACUAGUCGCCAGACAACAAAACAUUCUCUCAAGUCAAUUCGAUUUUAUGGACCAACUUUGACCGAGACAUUCAUUCGCCAUACUUUCGCAAUGCAUCUUGUUUCCACGAUAGAACAGAGAUGAAAGCUAGGUCUUGUGUUUAUGCAGACCCGAGUUUUAGCUUCUCAAUAUGCAGCAAUGUUUCUACAACUCUCUAAAGCAAAAUACUAGUUGCCGGACAACAAAACUUUCUCUAGAGUCAAAUCUGAUUUUAUGGACCAACUUGUACCGAGACAUUCAUUCACCAGACUUUCGCAAUGCAUCUCGUAUCAGAGAUAGAACGGAGAUGAAAGCUCGGUCGUGUGUCUACGCAAACCCGAGUUUUAGCUUCUCAAUAUGCAGCCAGGAUUAAAAUCUACGCCAAUCAAUUGUGUUUCAAUAAAUUUCUUUCAAAAACAAAUGCUUCCAUACCCCAUAGAUAAGAGUUCAAAAGAUCAAUAAUCCUAAUCAAAGUGGUAAAUCUAUGAACCCUAGAAUUUGAUCUAGCUCUAGGUACCAAUCUGACGGCUAAGAUCAAAAGAUACAAUGCUGCUUAAUGGCAAAUAACACUAGCAAGUAUCAACGACUCUAGCAGCAAAAACAAGGGUUUAAUCAAUCAAAUAUAAAACACAAACAGUACACAAUUAGAUAAUCAAAUAAUCUUCAAAAAAACAGAGAAAUUUCAAUAAGAGAUGAGAGUGACCUUAUCAACUAGUCCAGCCGUGGCGCCGGAGGUCCGAACCCUAUCUUCGAUCAACCAUCCAGGCGGCAACCAAGUUUCCGGAGCCACUACGCGCCGUUUCACCUUAGAAUCUGCCGACGAUGAAGAGUUGACCGAGCCCCGCGAAGGUGUCUCCGGUUGGGAACCAUUCGGGAUCAAACCGUUGCGAGAUUUGGUUGGCUCGGCCGGUUUUCCUUGACCGUUGACGUCGAUGAAAGCUCCGGGUUUGAGAAGCGGAUCGGAAGGUAAAUCGGCCGGGGAGGUUUGAACCGGGUCUGACAUUGCGCUAAAAGAAACGAGCUGAAAAGUGUGCGUGCUACGGAAAAGGAAAGAAAAAGGGCAAUUACAACCAAUUCGAUUCUCCAAAUAACGCCGUGAGAUUGUUGCCGUUAAUUUCAAUGACGUGUCAACCGUUUAGCAUAGCUUUCAGUAAAAACGCCGUUAAUAUUAACGAAACGCAUGCGUUUUUAGCAACAAAAUGGGGUACUUGUAUCAACAGUCCUUAGAUUAUCGCUCAGAUUCUAAAUUAGUCACUAAGCUUUAAAAAGUUUUAAUUUAGUCCUCAUAGUAUAAUAUCAAUAUUGUAUUAGUUAGAUUCUUUGUCAACCUAGCCAUGAAAUGUCAAUUCAGAAAUGACAUGGAGCACUUUCAAACUACAAGGAUCAAAUUGUAAACAAGUCCAUACCUUUUGCAUUGAUGACUUUAAUUUGAUGUGUUAAAAAAUAACACACGUCAAUAAAAUUUCAUAUGGUUAUUUAGUUUUUAACAUGUCAAAUACAAGUUAUCGAUGUGAUAUGCAUAAGGAUGGAUUCAGGGGACGCGACGCAGGGGCGAUCGUUCGCUUGGAAUUUUUAGAUUUUUGAAUUAUAUAUAUAAAUUAUCAUGUAUUUUAAAUUUGGUGUCUACAUUGUAUAACAUUCGCCCCCUCGACCAGAUUUUACUUCAUAUAAUUUGUCCCGUUAAGCCAUAAGGUUAUACUUUAAAUUAACAAAGUAUUUUUUGAUUUUUAAUAAUAAUAAUAACAAUAAUAAUAAUCAAAGGUUAAUAUAUGAUAUGCAUUAAAAUACUAAACUUAGAAGUUCAAUAUAAACCUUAAAGUAUCCGAAAAGAAUUGACAAUUUUUUAAGUUAAAAAAAUAUUGUGCAGAUUUAAAAGUUUCGCCUUUUGGAUUAAAAUCCUAAAUCUAUCCCUAAAUAAGUACAAAAAUCUUUACUAUUUAAUCCACAUGUUUUAAAUAUGAUUUGUGUCAUAUUUGAGCUAACAGCUCGUGCUAAUAAUUAAAUUUAAAUUUUAAGUCGUAAUUUGAACAAUACCAUUAAAGUGCAAAUUCUUGGUGGAUGACGAAGUUGACGACAAGGAAAUCAUAUUUUAUAUAUUAAAAAGACAAUUAGAUUAAACAAAAGGAUUAAUAUAUCAGUUUGGUACGUAAGUUAUUUUAAAUUGAUAUUUGAAUUUUUCUUCGUCAUGAACAAGUACCUAAGUUUGAGUUUAAUGUUCAAAUUGGUACGCGGCUUUUUCUUUUGUCCCAGUUAAGUAUCUAUGUUUUUUUACUAAAAUACACAUGUCAAAUAUUUAUUAGACCACAUGAUGUUGAUUAGUUUGAGUACCAAAUUGAACAUUGAAACUAAAUUUAAGUGUCAAUUUAGAAUUUAAGAAAAAAACACUUAAAUGCCAAAUAGUAUAUUAACCCUUAUAAAUGAAAAAAUUAUCAUUGUAUUUGAAUGAGUUAUUAUUAUACAUGCAUCACACUCAAAUCAAUUUUUGUAUUUAUAUCUUGUAAAAUAAUAUGCAAUUCAUCUCCAAUUCACACUUAAAUGAGAUUUUAAAUAUAAUAAAAAAUAUAAAUUUAGUUAAAUAGUGAAAUUAUUCAAAAAAAAAUCUAAAUAAAUAAUUUAAAUAUGAUUUUUAGAAAUCAAGGCACCCAAAUCUCAAAUAAAUCAGGAUCAAAGGGAAGCAUUAACGAGUUGAAAUUUGAAAUAUAUUUAACUUUAGAGUAAAAUAAUUAUGGAUAAUAUAUUAAUUGUGAAUUUUAAAUCAAUGCAUUGAAAGUUGAAAUUUUUUCCAGAAUAAUCAUAAAUAAUACAUGUACUAAUGAUUUUAAUCAAAAUUAUAAUCAAAAUAUUACAAUACAUGAAUGGAUUAAGCCACGAUUAUAAACUUGAAUUAAAAUUGAAAUAUAUCUAGACUUAAAUCAAAAUAAAAUUAUAAAAAAUACAUGAGUGAAGCCUAGACCCAUAAUUAAAUGGGAAAUUUUGUUUUAAGCUCCUUUAAAAUAAUAAUUCGAUACGCUCAUGGUAGAGGUUUUUUAAACUUAGUAAGAAAAGUCGAAAAGUUAUUUGUAUGUCCUUCGGUUGCUAUUAAAAAAAAGGGAAGUCGUAUUAAAUAAUAAUCCAGUUAUCAAAUAGAUAAUAAUAUAUUUAAAAUACGUGGUUGGAGCUUGAAAUAAGUUCGAAUUUUGAAGUCGUCAUUAUCAAGAGUGAUUUACUUGAAUACCAUAUCUGAUCCGAUUAGAAUUUUGCUCAAACCAUAAAAUAAAAGACGAGACAUGUGGUUAUACCAAAACAAUAUAUAUAUUCAAAACCAUUAAAUGUGACCAGGGGAGAGGCCAUAAAAUUUGGUUAGGGGAGCCAAAAUUAAAUUGUAAUUUUUACUAUUUUAAUAGUCUUUAUCUUUAUAAUUUUUAAAUGAUUAAAUCAAUUUUUAUCAUUUUAGGGGAGUAAAGUGUAAUUUUACCUUUACUAAUUUAAAAUUUUUAAAAUUUCAAAUGACCUAAAUGGAAAAUUUUUCAUUUUAGGAGGCCAACCCUCUGAUUUGCCCCUGUAUAUAUAACUGAUAAAAUAUAACAAAACAAAAUUCAAAAUUUCAAUUAAUUAGAUUAGGGAUAAUGUCAAUUUUAACAGUCAACAUUUACAUAUUUUUCAAAUUGAUUGUUGUUCUUCUUUUUUUUUUAAGCUAAAUUUGGUCAUUAUUCAUUCAAAAAGAGUCUCAAGUCAUUUUAUCUAACCAAAGUGUUGGCAUAAACAUAAAAUUGUGGCUCUUUCACUCAAAUAGCCCAAAAAAUAUUAUAUUUACAAAAAUAACUCAGGUUUAAAAACAAUCACCAAAAUAACUUAAAAUAAACAGUACCCACUCUUUUUUUGCAGCAAUAAUUGCCUAAUCAUUGUGUCAGACUUAAAAAAAUUAUUUUUUUAGGUUUUGGCCUGUCAAUGGUCGGAACCCAUAUGUAUUUUUUAAAAAAUUGUAUAAUACUGAUAUACGAAAAAGAAAAAAAAAAUUUUGGGUGCUGACUUGUCAAUGGCUGGCACCCAGUAAACAGUAAUUUUUUUUCUUUUUCGUAUAUCAGUAUUAUAUAAGUUUAAAAAAAAAUACAUGGGUUCCGGCCAUUGACAGGCCAAAACCCAAAAAAAUAAUUUUUUUAAGUCUGACACAAUGAUUAGGCAAUCAUUGGUGCAAAAAAAGAGUGGGUACUGUUCAUUUUAGGUUAUUUUGGUGAUUAUUUUUAAACCUGAGUUAUUUUUGUAAAUAUAAUAUUUUUUUGAGCUAUUUGGGUAAAAGAGCCUAAAAUUGUUAACAAUAUUGCUAUGGGAACCCAUAUGACAGUUUACAUAUAAUUCAUGUUGGUAUGAUAAUAUUUGUCUUAUUUACCAUACCAACAAAUAAUUUAAAAUUUAUAAACAUAUUCAAAAAAUACAAUAAAAAAUAGUACGAAUUACAUGUGAAUUACCAUGUAAAUUAAAAUAUUCAAAAAUUUAAUUUAUAGUCUGCAUUUCUGUUAAAAACUCUUUUUGAAAAAUAAAUUUAGCUAAAAAUAAGGGUUAAAUAAAAAAAUUGGGAAUUUAAAUUUCCCAUUAUACAUUAAAUUAAUGGUAGGGUCUAGUCAAAAUAAAACCUUUUUUUCUUGACCCUUAGCCAAAAUAAAACUUAAAUCCGUCUUCUAAAGCCUAUUCCCCAAGAAACCUAAGCUAAAGCAAAAAAAUCUAUACAAUCAAACCGGGCAAGGAUUGGGUCCUUGAAGAAAUAACUGAAAUUGAUUAUUGAUAUAAUUAAAGAAAGAGCACGUGUCGUUUUAUUAGUUGACAGAUUGUAUCCAAUGUUGACCACAUUAAACGCGUAUGGACCACUAUAUCAACGAAUCCAAGGAAUAUAUAAAAUUUUAAUUAUUUAGUGAGUUAAUAUUGAGUUCACUCGUAAUUUUACUAUAUAUACAUAAAAAGAAGGCACUUAGCAAUCAUAUUUGUUAUAUGAAUUAGGUUAAUUUCACCAUAGCCCUCAAACUAUAAUAAAAAUUCUAAUUUGGCUCUAAAUUUCAAUAUCUUUUUAUUGAAUCCUCAAAAUAUGUGUACUAAUGUGUCGCAUAUGUCGAUUUUUUUAUCUGCCUGAUCGACAGUAAUGAUAUUAAAUGUCAACUCAAAUUUAACUUCAAACAUAUUUAAAACGUGUAAUUUAAAGUAUACACAUACAAUUCAAAGUGUAUACAACUUAGAUCUACAUGUUUAAAACAUAUAGUUCGGAGCAUAAAGCAACUUAGAUAUGAUAUAUUAACACGUUGCAUCCAUUAUCCAAGCUAUUCAUACGAUAGUAUGCACAUGUUUUAAAUAUACUAUAUGUGAUAUUUGGGUUGACAUUUAACUUCUAUACUGACAUAUAAAGGAUUCAAUUAGAAUAUUUUAUGGUUUAUGAAUCAAUUUAGAAAAUAUACAAAGGUUUGGGAGCUUUGGUGAAGUUACUCCAUUUUUACUUGGUUAAAAUAUAUAGUUGUCUGUAGUAUUCAAAUAUUUGGAAUUUAAUUAUUUUACUUUUCAGAUUUUAAAAUUCAAGUCUAAUUGUUAACAUUGUUAAUUUUGUUGGUCUGACAUAUUGAAAAAGAAUGCUCAUUAAGUAGCAAUGUAACUAAAAAAAUGAUAUUGCAAUAAACCUGAAUUUAACAAAAUAAUUGUAAUAGUAUUAACUUUUGGAAAUUUGAAAAGUAGAGAAUUAAAUUUCUAAAAAUAAAAGUACAGGGACUAAAUAAUAAAUUUACAAAGAGUACGGGUACUUCUAAAAGAUUUUAACCUUUUUAUUUUAGUGUUUGUGUGUGGAUUUCAUAUAAGAUACUGCCGCACACAAUCUCUCUCUCUCUUCCCUUUUCAAACACUCCAUAGUCGGCACCGUGUUUAUAGACAAAACCAGAGCUUCCGGUUUAAACUCCAUCUAUCACUGCCUCUGUGAAUCUCUGUUUUACUUUUUUUGUUUCUCUCAGAGGUAGUAAAAUGGCGGUUCUCUCUGCAACUAAGCUCUUAAUCUUCUUCUUCUUUAGUUGCCACCUUUCUAUUUUCUCCUCCACUGCCACCGCCGUCUAUACCAUCGGCGUCAACUACGGAACCAUCGCCGACAACCUCCCAACUCCGGCACAAGUAGCAAACUUCCUCAAAACCAAAACAAACAUCGACCGGAUCAAGAUAUUCGACACGAAUCCCGACAUCCUUAAAGCCUUCGCCGGAACGGGGAUUUCCGUUACCGUUACGGUCGGAAACGGCGACAUACCGUCUCUGGCUAAGCUUCCCGGAGCUAAAGCUUGGAUCGAGAAGAACAUCUUGCCGUAUCAUCCGAAAACAAUCAUCAGAUACAUCGCCGUCGGGAAUGAAAUCCUCGCCACGUCGGAUAAAACUCUCAUAGCUCACCUUUUGCCCGCCAUGAAAGCACUCAGAUCGGCUCUCGACUCGGCUAACGCUACAAGUGUUAAAGUCUCGACGCCGCAUUCACUCGGGAUAUUGUCUACGUCGGAGCCGCCGAGUGCAGGGAAGUUCCGUAAAGGUUACGAUAAGCUCAUUUUCGCGCCGAUUUUGGAGUUCCAUAAGCAAACAAAAUCUCCUUUCAUGGUGAACCCAUACCCCUAUUUCGGGUUCAAGCCACAAACGUUGGAUUAUUCUUUGUUUAAACCAAACGGCGGCGUUUUCGACGCCGGUACGGGGAUAAACUACACCAACAUGUUCGACGCUCAACUGGAUGCGGUUUAUACAGCUAUGAAACGGGUCGGGUAUGAGGAUGUGGAUCUCGUUGUGGCUGAAACCGGGUGGCCUUCUGUUGGUGAUCCGGGUCAACCCGGUGUGAGCUUGGAGAAUGCGUUGUCGUACAAUGGGAACCUCAUUAAGCACGUGGACUCUGGUAAAGGGACUCCAUUGAUGCCCAAUAGGACCUUUGAAACGUAUAUUUUCGCUUUGUUUAACGAGAACUUGAAGGAAUCGGUUCCGGAGCGGAACUUCGGGUUGUUUAAACCCGACUUGAAUCCGGUUUACGACGUGGGCAUACUCCGCAGUGAACAGGUAAAUUUUCUUGAUGAUUGCGUUAAUUCUUAAUUUCUUGAGUUAAAUUCAAAAUUCGAAUAUAUUCAAUUAAAUAUAAAUUUUAAAUUCGAGUUUGAUUGAAGAUUUAAUUGAGUAAUUUAAUUCGAACUUAAUCAAAGUGGUUUAACAAUUCAAGUUUAUAAGCAUUAGUGUCUUAUUAUGGUAAAAGUACCAUAAAUACUGAAUUUGGCUCAAUCGAAAGCUUGAGUUCAACUCGAUAAUUACUAAAUUUAAUUAAAUUUUUAUCGAGUUGAAUUGUAAUAAUUUGCAAGUACUAGUGUCUAAUUAUGUUAGAAGUACUAUAGAGGUUUUUAUAAUAGAAGUUAGUUACAUAUUGCCUCUUUUAUUUAAAAAAAUGAGCAAAUUAAUUUUUGUACAUUAGAUCAAAUAGUAAAUUAGUUUUUAUGUUAAAAUUUUUAUUCGUUUCUAUUGUUAAAAACUGAUCAUUGUAUGUGAAAAUGAGGUAUGUUUGGCAUGCUAUGUGCAACUAUCUAGUCAUUUUAUCAGUCUUGUUAGUUUUUAACAGUAAAAAUGAAUGUAAAUUUUAACAAAAAGUACCGAUUUAUUUUUUGAUCUAACAUACAUAGAUUAAUUUACUCAUUUUUUUUUGAAUAAAAGGGAUGAAAUAUAAUCUAACUCAACUUAUACUUUAUGAAAUUAAUCCCUACAAAUUAAAGUUAAUUAAUGAUGUAAGGUUAAUUGAGGUGCUAAUUUUAAAAGUCCUAAAACUACAGUGGUUGGUGGCAAAAUUAAAUCUGACACAUGCCAGCUUUGUUUAUGUAACUGCGUAGCCGACUUUGAUUGAUGUCGACGACAAGCCGUACGUGGCUUAGCUGUUAUAGUCACGCUUUCCACUUUUUUUAGUAUUUUUACAUUUUAUUACCUGCUGAAAAAAAGCUCUCACUCUUUUCUUUUUUGUCUGAAAAAGGUGCUUUAUUUGUUUUAUUCGGUAUGUCUGCUUGAAAAAGUAAUUUCGAUUCAAUUUUAUACACUAAUUUAGCUUCAAUCUUUAUUAUUGGCCCAUAAAAAGUAUCAUCAAGGGACUAAAUGAGCAAUAUAUACCCUUAUUUUUCUUUAAUUAAUUAAAUAUGUCGAGUUUUUUAAGAGAUAGAGAAAUAAACUGAUUUUAGAGGGGGAGUAUAAAAAGUACGUCCAGCUGGACGCAUUUUCUGCACAGUUGGCAGAAAAGUUUGUCCAAUCGGAUGAGCUUUUUACACAAUUGUUAUGAAAGCUCGUCCAAUUAAGCGAAUUUUCUGCAUAGUUGGCAGGAAAAUACGUUCAAACUGGAUGAGUUUUUAUUGACAUGUUAAGAAAAACGUGUCCAGCUAAAUGCAUUUUCACAUUAUCUUUUCAAAAUUGACUUAUUUUUUAAAAUCUUGAAAAAAAAAUCUAUUUAACCAAUUAAAAAAAAAAGCAUAUAUGCCAAUUUAGCCUCAUCAAGGCAUCUUGUUGGAUUUUAUUUUACCUUUUUAUUUAUUUAGUUGGAAUUUAUUUUAUCCUUUUUAUUUAAAAAAUAAGAUAAAUCCAUCCUUAUAUUAGAUUAAAGAAAAAAAAUGAGGACUAAAAAUUCAUUCAUAUAGUGAGCCGAGCUGAUUAGAGUAAUUUGAAUUUUUUGUGAUGUAGGGGAUGGGUCCGACAUCAGCUCCAACGACGGCCACAGCUCCAUCGGCGGCCACGGCUCCGUCGGCGGGAAAGGCGCCAUCAAGUGGUUCGGGGAAGUGGUGCGUGGCUAAAUCAAACGCCAGCGAUGCGGCGUUGCAAGCGAACAUAGAUUACGUGUGCAGCAGCGGAGUGGAUUGUAAGCCGAUCCAAUCGGCUGGGGCCUGCUUUAACCCCAAUAAUGUGAGGUCACAUGCAUCGUACGCAAUGAAUGCGUACUAUCAAGCCAAUGGUCGUCAUGAUUUCAACUGCGAUUUCAAUCGUACGGGUGUCAUCACCUCUACCGAUCCAAGUAAGUUUCCGUUUACAUCGUUAAUAUUUGGCAUAAAUUUGAUUUUAUAUUUUUAUAAUGGUAUUAGUAAGUUUAAGUUGAAAGAAUUAUUAAAGGUAAAUUAUAUUAGUAGUCAUUUAAUUAAUUUUUUAUUUAAUUAUGAAAAAUUAUAAAAUAGUUAUUCAAUUAUUAGUAAAAAAAUUUGGUUAUCUAACUAUGAAAAGUUAUAAAAUAAUCACUCAAUUAUUUAAUUUUAUCUUUCAUGGUUACCUAACUAUCUUGAAUUUUUGGGUGUUUCUAUUUUUACGUUAACUAGCUGAUGAUUAAAAAAGGAAAAAUUAAGUAGUUGGCUGAUCAUUUUGUAGUUUUUUCAUAGUUGGGUGACCAAUAAAUAAAUUUACUAACAGUUGGAUGACCAUUUCGUAACUUUUUGUAAUUAAGUGACAAAAUAAAUAGUUAGGUGACUACUAACGUAGAUUACUCAAUUAUUAAUCGUUUCCAUUAAAGUAAUAAAGAUUCAAUUGACAUAUAAAUUUAUUAUCAGUUGAAGCUGAAACUUCUUACGACGUUGAUUGUGUAAGCGGAUGGAUUAGUUGAAAAUUUUACUUAAUCACUUUAACACAUGAUAUCAGAAUUAAACUGGAUUGACCAAUUGUAUCGGUUGAAUCAAGAAUCACUAGUUCAAUCAGUUCAAUUGAUACUUUAAAAUCGGAGAAAGAUUUAACCGGCACGAAAAUCAAUUGAAGUGAUAAAAAAAUUUUGAAUCAAAUUUAAGCUAGUUAGAAUAUUCAAUUUUUGUUUUCUGUUUUUAUUGUUUGAUUGCACUUUUUUUUCUUUCUAAUUUGCUUUGAAAUUUUUUAAUUUUUUGAAACAAAGUUCAUUUUAUAAUGGUUGAAUUAAUAGUAUGAUGGGUUUGGCCACAAAUUUAAAUUUUAUAACGAUACCUUAAUGGAAACAACUAAUGGUAUAAUUGAUUAAACUUGUUAAUAACAAGGAUUAAACAUCAAAAUUCAAAAUGAUAAUUGGACUAAAACCAAAAUUAGACCACGGAAUCUCUUGGAAAGAAUAAUAAAUAUGAUUUGGACUGACAAAAUUUUGUAAUGGUGGCAGGUCAUGCAGCUUGUAACUAUUCAGUGGAUCAAGGGUCAGGGUUAAAAUUGGAAAGUUCAGUGGCCGCAAAUACAAUGAGAUUUAGCGCCGUUUGGCACGUGAUUUCUCUGGCUACCUUGUCGUACUGUAUGAUUUUUAUUAGAUUUUAUUAAAUUAACAUUGUAAUGUAAGUGGCCUAGUUAGGUUUUUUGGUCAGAAGUUAAAUUUUAUUGGAAUUAAUAUUUUUGCUUUUUGGGGGGCUAAGGUUGUACUAGACUUUCUAUUCAAUGAGUGAUAUAGCAUAAAUUUUUAAUUAAUAAAAUAUAAAAUAUUUUAAAUAUGAUUAUGAUAUAAAAAAUGUAUAGUUAGGUUUAUGUGAAUUGCUCGUGGAUGGCUAGAGGGGAGCAGGUAAGAAUCUUGGUUUCUAGCUUGAUUUACUCGCCGGUUGGAUGGGCAAUGAUGGUUUUUUGCAGUCAACGCACUAGAUCCCGUCGAAUCCCAUUGGGCAUCCAUGGUGGUUAGGCGUCGUCUUUUGAAGCCUUAUCGCGAUAUGAUUUCCUUCGUAGGAGGCGUUAAUGCCGAUGGUGAAUGCUUAGUGCAUUUAAUUUCUUAGGUAAUCGGUCUAAAAUCAUAAUUAGACCUAAUUUAAACUAAUACUUCAUUUUAGUUUCGUAUCAAUAUAUUAUGAAACAAGUUCAAAUACGUGAAAAUUCUCAUAUUUAUUUCGGUUUAAAUUCGACCACAUCUUCUAUGGUCCAUUUUCAAUUAUUUAACUAAAUUUCAAGGUUUUAGUUUGAGUUUAAAUUUUAAGGGUAAAAAAGUUAAAUUACUAAAAUUAUGUGUGACAUAAAAAAAAUAUUAAAAUAUUAUUAAAUAAUUAAAAAUGGAACAUCACCAUGAAAUAAUUAUUAGAAUAGGAAACGAAGUGUUUUUUUUUUUCACUUUUUAGCUCAUUAAUCAAUCAAGGUGAGUUGAACAAUCUUCACUCUAACCAUAUAACAAGCAAUUGAUUCAAUAGUGAAAAUCAACAAAUUCUUCCAAGAAACAAGAUUGCGAAGAACUCGAUUAAUCCAAAAAGAAAAUUCUUACGAAAUAAGAAAUUCCGAGCCCCUUCUCGCAGUUCUUAUUAUUACCCUUCAAUCUUGCGUUGCUGCUUGUGAAUUAAGCUCUGCGAACCUCAUGCCUACGCGCAUCGAGUGCUUCAAGAACUUCUCAGCACAUCGUGUCACACAGGUUUCCUCUUGUUUCUGCAACGUCUUGCGAGUGAAGUUGUCGAUGCAGUCAGUGAAGCAUCUCUCGACGAGUGAAUUGUACAUUCUCAAACUGUAAAAUCAAAAAGCACCCAUUAACAGAUAUGGAGAUUGUAUUGGAAAUUCAAAACCCCUUCAAACCCUAAUCUGUCCCAACCCUGGCCUAGUUUCUAUCUCUUCUAUAGUAUAAAAGACAUCCAUCCAUCUCCGUGUUAACAAUGCUGAUGAAUCUGUAAAUACAACAAUGGCAUAACCAUCAAUGGUUCCCAAUCUAAACAAAAAGGAUUUCAAGUACAUGAAAAUUAUGGAGAUUGUACCAAAAUCUCUUCUAACCCUAAUCCAAACCUUGACCCUACCCCAACUUUUUUAAUUCUUCCCCAACGCCAUAGAAAAGAUAUGUUUGUCUCCAUGUUAACAAUGUUGAGAUAAGUCUAUAAAUAUAAAAAUGGAAUAUCCAUAAGCUAUAGAAACAAGAUCUAAAAAAGGAAAUGGAAUAAAAUUGGAACAAGUUUAUCUUUAUGAAAGGGAAAAGCUAGUAUCAAUUCAACGUUAUUCAAACUCCUCGAAUUUUCUUAAAUACCAUAUUUGAACACAAGUAAACCUAUCAAUUUUGACCCAAAACCAAAAACCCAAUCCUAAUCCAAGCCGUCAUGAUCAUAAAUCAUCUACAACUCCAACCUUUAAAACCUAAACUCGAAUUGACUCGAACCAUAACUGACUGAAACCCAAAACAACCAAAACACAAAAAGACCUGAACAAGUAAUCUAAAAUACCUCAAAUAAUUUGAACCCGUGAAGAACCAGCACGUAAAAACCGAGCUUCAAAUUUAAGUAACCCGAUCCUGAACCAAUCAAAAUCCAAUUUCACAAUCUGAAUUGACAAGAUUGACCCGACCCAAAAUCAAUCCAACCCUAACAGGUCUAUUUGAAAGCAAAUACAAUGAAAUGUGGGCAAAAUACUAGCUAAAAGCAUUAUAAAAAAUGGUUUUAAAAAUACAUAAAUGUAGUUCCCAAAACGUCCAGAGGCAACAUCAAAAAAUGCCGCACUGGUUUUAAAGGAGAACAGAUCUUUUAGCUUCUCAUUAGAUAAAAAUACCCAGAUUUUGAAAUUGGAAAUCUGCAUCGUUCACAAUCUGAAGAAGCUAUCCCUUCAUCCUAAAACUGUAUUCCUUAACAAAUUAAGAAAAAAAUGACAUUAAAGAGAGUGAAUCCGAAAUAACUCGAAGCUGAAAUGAAUCGAACCCGUAAUAACCCAGCCCGUAAAACCCGAUCCAAACCCAAUUUCAUAAUCCGAAUUAACCAGAUUGACCCGACCCAAAAUCAAUCCAACCCUAACAGGUCUAUAUGAAAGCGAAUCCAAUGAAAUGUAGGCAAAAUACUAGCUAAAAGCAUCAUAAAAAAUGGCUUAAAAAUACAUAAAUGUAGUUCCCAAAACGUCCAGAAGCAGCACCAAAAAAUGCUGCACUGGUUUUAAAGGAGAACGAGUCUUUAAGCUUCUCAUUAGAUCAAAAUACCCAGAUUUUGAAAUUGGGAAUCUGCAUCGUUCACAAUCUGAAGAAGCUAUAAGGAUCAUAAACCCUAAAUAAUCAUCAUAAAACUGUCUUCCUUAACAAAAUAAAGAAAAAAAUGACAAUAAAGAGAGUGAGUCACCUGUCACGAAGCUGAAGGUGGUCGAUCAUGGCUGACAUUCGGGCCUUAUCUUCUUCAGGGAGACCCUCGAGUGCUGCUAACAUGUUCUUGUCCAUACUGGAUCCUACCUCUCUUUUUUCUUUUCAAUUGAAUUUCUUUUUAGGAUUUUGAUCUUUUCUUUCUUUUACGAGGUGACUAUAAGGGUUUAUGUGAAGGGGCUUUUAACUUUCCAUUCGUUUCAAGCAAUGAAAAAAACCCUAGGAAUCUAAUAUCUUCAAACCAUACGGCGCCGUUCUACCUAGAGCGGUUGGGCCUGUAUUUUUCAACCUGAUUCGGCUUGGCCCGUCUCGUUUUUUUUCUGUUUAUACAUCAUAAAAAUAUAAAAAUAAUUUUAUGUUAAUAUUUAUAUAUUUUUAUAAUUAAUUUUAAAUAAAAAAUAACUUUUAUUUUUUAAACAGUGAAAUUAGUUUUAUAAGCGGGUCCAAAUGCGUUAUGCUUUAGCGCUGUAAUUUGUUUUGGAAUUAGACUAGAGUGUAAUUGAGCCGAAAUACUCGAUCAAAUAUUCUUUUUUAGGUUUGGGCUAGAUUCAAAAUAUAAUUGACCCACUUUUGAUUAAGCUUGUUUAUCAAUUUUUGUACUCAAGAUUGAGCUCAACUCGAUAAUUAAGCUUAGUGUUAAUAAUAUAUAUUAAGGAAAUAACAUAAUUUAAUAAUAUGAAAAGAUAGAUAAGGCUCAUGAGCCAUUCGAGUCAAGUAUUACUAAGCUUGAAUUUGACUAAAACGAUGGCUCGAGCAACACAAGCUUAGCUCGAUAAAUACAGAAUCGGGUUCGAAUUUUUUUCAAACCAAAUUCAAGUAACUUGCAAACAUCAAUAUCUCAUUUACACCCCUAAAUUGAACCUUAGUCCAGUUAGAGCUAUGAACACCUCCAAUUCUACCCUGUAAUAAUUAAUAUAUCAUAUUAUGAUAGUUUCUUCCAGCAGGGAUGUUCACGAGUCAAUUUAGAUAUAUUUAUUUGGUUUUAAAUUUUAUUAAAAUUCACUCCAACUCUAUUUUCGUACUAGUGCAUGAAUACACACUUAUUGGACAGAGAUACGAAAAAUGUAACAUGGCAUAAAACGCUCCAAGUUCUAAUUUGAUCAAUGCCCUAAGUUUUUGGUUGGGUUACUUAGGGUCCAUAACUAUGAUACAUUAGACCUAACUUGACCGUUAAGAAAUUGAUAGAGAAAUCGGAAAAGACAAAUCCCGAUAUCAUACCAAUGCGUGAAUAACACGCAAGUAUUUCACUUAUGAAUCAUUUUAUUACUCUCUCGAUGUCUUGCAAUUACCUACGUUAUCGAAUAGAGAGAAUUCAAGCUUUGCAAAGCCAGUUUUGAAUGGCUUGACGUAUGGCGUGGUUCGGAGUAAGAUGCAAAUGACUCAACUUCAAAUUAGUCAUUGGUGAAGUUUCACGGCCGUUUUCCAACCAGCCACGCAAGGCUUCUCCUUCGUACGUGAAUCCAUCGGCUGCCACUUGAGGGUCGUGCAUUAUUUCCUUUAUAAAAAAAAAAAAGAAGAAGCACGUAUUAGACAUUGGUUGAACAUGUCAGAUCAAAUAGUCCAGAACCACAAAAGCAGCGUAGAAAUUAUAUCAUAACGGCCAAAUGCGGCUCGAUCGACAUGGAUUAAUGGAUCGGGAAAUCACUUCAUUUAAGUGACAUAUAUGAACUUAAUAAGACACUUACCUGAAGAAUUGGGCAUAAAAAGAAAGACGGCACUGGCCGUUCCUCAGUGACAUGCAACUGCCCUAGUUCCCUCACCAGAGAUGGUUUUAGAUCAGGCCGAUCCCUACUGUAUGGUUCGCAGCAUUGCAGCCCCAGAUCGACCAAACGUCUUGCCACGAACAUAGGCCAUUCUCCGGCUGAUUUAUCAAGAAUCGAAGCU